AUACACCAAUCCAAGGGAGAGUGAACAUUUGGGGUACAAUCCAGUUGCAAAGGAAGCUAAUGUGCAUGCCAUGAUGGGAGGCCACAAUGAAACUAGACAAUUCGAUCCUGAUCAACCCCCUGAAUAUGAUGAAUGGCCGUUUGAAAUUGUUGAGGGUGAUGUUGUACCCACAGCCCACUUGUGGCCUGCUCACCCUACACCCAUUGCUGCAGUCGCUCAGGGAUCGCCAGUUAUGCUGCGCCAACAAUUUGCUAUGGUCCAAGUGGGAACACCAACUAAAUCACCCAUGCCACCUAAAUGUACCAUCAGCCCCAAUACUCCUCGGUCAGGCAGUUGCUACCGGUGCCAUGAAGGACAUUGGACCAUCAACUGCCCUAAGAACGGCACUUGUUACCACUGUGGUAGGCACUUUGUGAAGGAUUGCCCUGGAGUACGCACCAAGAAAUGAUCGUAAGAAGCAUAUGAGAGUCUCAUUAUGUAAAAAGUAAGCACUGAGGCUAGCGAUCUACUUCUGCAUAAUAAUUGGCUUAAACGUGGCUGUCAGUUUAUGGUUUAGGAUUGAAUGUACGGCGCCGGAUACCCUGCUAAACUUAAACUUGUGGUGCCUGACUGUAAGGUUACUAAUGCGGUUGGUUAAUCACUAGUAGCAUAUGCAGAAGGGACAGUAAACUCGUAACUCGUAUUUUGCGUAUGCAUUUGUAGUACUUUAAGUAUGCGUUUGACUGGUAAUGUUUUGCAUAUGCAGUAGCAUAGCGUAUCUAUUUGUAGAACUACCUCGUCUGUAAACUAAUAUAAGACAUUUUAGACACUUGAAAGUGUCUAAAAUGUCUUAUAUUAGUUUACAGAGGAGUAUUUAAGUAUGUGUUUGAAUGGUGUCCCAUCUGUAUGAAUUUCGGACGCGGCUCGUCUGAUGUAUGGCCCACACACUGACGUGUGGGCCCGGACCCACCCGUCAGCGGCCCAACGGCAGGGGGCCGUACGUCAGAGGAUCCGGCUCCAUGAAUUUCAGGUGCAGACCUGAGUGCUAACGCGUUUCAGUGUGUGUAUUCUUCUGAAGUUUCGAGGGUGGUUACUAAUGUUAUCCGUGUUGAUGAACUGAUGGGUGAGGUAACAGGUGUGUCAAUCAAUAUGUUGAACUUUGAACAACUUGAUUUCAAGGGUGUGGUGCUGUAAGAUUCAUUUAUGAGAAACUUUGAGAGAAGAUUUGUGAAUGGAAAAGAAUGAAAUAUGGUGUGUCAUUAAAAACUCUUUUUAAACCCAAUGGGAUAAUCUAUAUACAAGGAGAAAUCGAUAUGACAUAUAUGAACACUUGUAUUUAUAUUGUCUCGUUAAAAACCCUUAGGAGAAACCAUCCAGGAAAAAUGAGUAUAAUAUAUAUAAUUGGAUGAAUUUAGGAGUUUACCCCCCUAAACUUUGCAAAAUUUAAGAUUGUCGCAUACCGAUUCCAUGGAUAUGUUUAUGGAAUGUAGAAGUUGGUAAUAACACUAUGAAUAAACGGUUAGAUUUUCACAAGACUUCAUUUGCAAAUUAUCUCUUCAGCUUUCAAUAAUUUGUGAGGAUAAGUAAAUUUGGAGCAAUGCGCUGCAUGAUAUUGCUCUUCAUAUAAGCUGUAAGUAUUAAGCAACACAAGCGGCAGUAUCUUGAUAUUUGAAGUUAUGUAGUUCUAAUGAAUCUCAACCACGCGAUUUUAUUGUGGUCAAUCAUUCCGCUAAUUCAUGCACAUUUUGCAAUGUUUAGAUAAAGUAAUUAGUAUAUCAUAAUGAUCAGUGAAAGUAGCCAUUGUAGUCUAUUUAGAUGAAUUCCAUGAAAAGAAGACUAUUUCGGUGGACUCGGUUUGUCCCCUAGCACUAUUGGGAUCAUAUAACUAGUCAGUGUCAGUAUUAAUCAUAUCUUGAUUUUUCCUAAUGGACAUAUUUGUGAUUCGGCGGAUAUUCCUUAUAUCAACCCUAUACCUUUGUUGUUUGGGGUUUCGCUCUGAAUAAAUUGAUAUCAAAUGUAGUAUCACACCUGACGUAGUUUGCAAUCAUAUGAGUACUUUGAUGUUAUUGAUACGCAGAGCUUCAGGUCCCUAUAUCACUUUGUUAUCAUCCCUAGGUUUGGAUUUAUAACCAUAUCAGGGACUAUAUCCUUCUGCUUACAACAACCCCACUCCCCUUAAAAGAAUAUUAUAGUGCCAGUAUCAUGAGUCAUGAGGUUCUACUCUUUAGUCUGAUAAGAAGAAAUCAAGGUCUCGGUUCCGUAUUAAGUAAAGAUAGGGAGACCAUAAAUGUCUUGAACUGAAAUGAUAAAUUUAUAUUGAACUUCUCUUGUAAUUUUUGGAUAUAUAUAUAUAUAUAUAUAUAUAUAUAUAUAUAUAUAUAUAUAUAUAUAUAUAGUCUGAUAUGUAUAUAUCCUUCAGGGAAUGCUCAAGUUUUACACUUAAGAAAAUUUUGGUUGAACUCAAAUUUCCGUCUUAAGAUGAUUUUGUUUAUGUUUAGGUCUUCUAUAGACAUUGUGAUGAGAUCAUCGAUAUAAACUAAGGUGAUGUAAGAAAAUCCAGUUGAGGAUCUCUUAAUGAGUACACAUAAACGAUCAUCAUUAUUCAAGUAAUCCUUUUGAAGAAGGAACUCACUUAGUGGUAGUACCAUGUUUUUUUACUAUUUCAAGUCAUAUAGUGACUUGUGAAGUUUUACACAAUAUACAUGUUAGGAUUUAUUUUGGGUUUGGAAUUAAUGUGUUAUGUGGGCCAUCAAAACUCUUAAGUUUGGAUAUAGAUGGGUUGUGGGAGAUGGUACCAAAACUAGGUCCUGGGAGGACAUUUGGUUUGGUACAUCUCCUCUCUUUGUCCAAUUCUGGACCUUGUAUUCCAUUUGCCAUCAGCAAUGCUCUAGCAUUUGGGAGGGCCAUUCGAUUAAACUUACCUUUAGAAGGACCUUUUCACAUGCUAUGAUGGAAUCUUGAUACAUCAUUGAACAAACCGAUGAAAGCAUUUGCCUCUCUAAUAAUUGUGACUCUCAUUUGACAACAUGAAUCUAAAGGUGAAUAUUCAACCAUUCUUUGUAUAGCAUUAUCAACUUUAGGGGUGUUCAACCCAUAUACAUACUGUCCGUCUGGUUUAUUUUUGUUCCCCCAAAAGUUCAGGUUUCUCUCUAGCUGUUAUCACGAAACAAGCUUAUGACUAGAGACAACCUACAGAAAAGGAAUAUCAUCAAACGACUAGACUAUGUUUUCAAUUUAGAGCAUGAAGCUAUCCCACAUAUUUUCUUUGAUUGUGUGGUUUGUAAAGAAAUUUGGAAGCAUCCCUCAGGUGUUCUAAAAAUUAAAUGCUAAUUACUUUUUUAUUACCACAUUUGGGCCUGCGAAAAAUAAUAAUAAUAUAGUGCUCAGUUCCAUUUGUGCAUGUGUUCUGUGGUGUAUUUGAAAAAACUAGGAAUACACAUAUCUUUAACAAAUAACUAUGUUAUGACAUCAAGCAGGUCUAGUGGCUUAUUGUAGUGACUCGGAAAAAUGGAGGAUCCUACACAAGGAUGUGAACCUUCCACAUGUGGAUGCUCUAGCUCAGGGACUCUCUACAUGGAUAAGCUCAGAGGCGGAACUAUGUGUACUCUACCCCCCGGCCUUUGACCAUGUUUUGAAGGUAAAAAAUCAAGAUGGCUUAGGUUCAAAAAGUUUGGAUAUAGAUGGGUUGUGGGAGAUGAUACCAAAAUUAGGUUCUUGGGGAACAUUUCGUUUAGUACUUCUCCUCCCUCUAUCCAAUUCCCUUGUAUUGCAUUUGUCAUGAGCAAUGCUCUGGCAUUUGGGAGGGCCAUUCAAUUAAACUCACCUUUAUAAGGAACUUUUCUUGUGCUGUGAUGGAAUCCUUGUAUAUCCUUGGAAAAAUUGUGACUCUCAUUUGGCAACAUGAAUCUAAAGGUGAACAUUCGACAGUUCUUUGUAUAGCAUUAUCAACUUUAGGGGUGUUCAACCCAUAUACAUACCAUCUGUCUGGUAUAUUUUGGUUCCCCCCUAAAGUUCAAGUUUCCAUCUGGCUAUUAUAUCAGACAAGCUUAUGACUAGCAGAUGGGUCUGGGUAGUCGAUCUCUUCUGGCGUGUUCAAGGGGUCGUCGUGCCUCACUUUGUCUUUCUAAAGUCAGAGUUGCUGAGGAGCGGCCCUUGCGGUGACGAUGACUAAUACCUCCUUUUAGUGAUUCGAUAAUGGAAUAGAAAAGUGUAUCCACACCUUUUUCCCCAGAGGUGAUCCUCGGUUAUCGAACCAUGAAAGGAAGAUUCCCUUGAAGCGAUGGUCUCUAGCAAGCUUUUGUCAAAGGAUCAAUUCCAGCUUUUGACCGGAUCAAUUAAGAAAACAGUGAUUUGAACACCUAUAAUAAAAAUAGGUACGUGUAUGAGGUCUUAAUGCUUACAACCAUGUAUUUGUGUUGGGACCAGAUAUUAUCUUAAUUUGUGCGCUGGAAGUCACCCACCGAGAUGUGCUUGUUACGAACCGAAGUGGGGGAUGUGUCCAAAUAACAUCUUGAUCGGCACGAGUCCAACAUCAAGAAUCAGUUGUCAUACCACAGGCCCUAUUCAUCGCCCGGGGUUGCCUCGAUAAUUAAGAUAAUGAAAUCAGACAAGAGCUUUGGAUGUUUAAUGACUACACUCAUGUAUUCCCAAGGAUAGGACCCGUGUUACCCUACUAAACCCUACUGUCACCGGUGUUUUGUAUAACACUUCACGUCUCCUUCCUCCUAGCCUCACCAUGGCUCGAUCCCAUAAUCCCGGGUACCUGCAGGGAUGAAGAUCGCGGACAAGACAAGAGACAUCUAUGUAACAAUUUUAUUUCACACAUACGAGAUGUUAAUUCAAAGCCCUUCCAUUGACCCCCACAAAAAAAUACAAAGGGUUGCAAGGCCUAUGCCUCAACCCAUACCUUACAGAACUACUCACAUAUGGACAUCAGAUCGCGAGAAGAAACCAUUUAAGAGCACAUCCUGAAGAUUGAUUGAUUGUAAAUAUGUCUUACAAUGGAUGGCUUACGCGAUGCAUGAUUUACAUGUAUGAACUAGAUAAGGAAGCACUAUGGUGGUGAUGGUGGCUAUGGAGAUGGAAAUGGCGGCGGCUAGGGUUUGUGGAUGAAGAAGAAGAAGAUGAUGAUGAUGUUCUGGCUUCUGUCAAUGCUCACAUGUUGACAUUUCGAUGGGGUUCCCUUUAUAAAAGUUGUUCAAGUGGACGAUCUGCCUCAGUUUCCACACAGUCUUUUUGUGCUAUCUUCGCAGACACGCCUCCUAUUGAUUCCUUCUUUCUUCAUUUCCCUUCCUUUCCAUUUCCACACGUGAUUUCUUCCCUUCUAGCCCAUUUUCUAUGGAAACACAUCAAAGAGAGGAUUUAUGGAAUCCUUUGCAUUAAUUAGCCAUUAGUGGUAAUAUCAGAGCGAAUAUCUCUUUUUAAAUGAAAUGUCUCGAUUAAAGCUAAGGUAGAUGAGUGCAAAAAUAUCACUCAUCAAUGACACGAGACGGGUGGUCGGUUCCUGCGCUAGCUCAGCGCAAGCCCAACGCUUUUCUCCCGCAAUGCUCAUCGAUAGAGUCAGAGCUGCCUGGUCACUGACGCGUGUGGUUGACCAUUUGGCAUUUAUAGGCGCACACCUCUAUGCUUUUUUGCGAUGAGGGCUACAUCAAUGCUUGUCGAUGUUGGAGUCGGAGUCACCCUUGCGGAGGAGUGAGGACGAUGACAUCAGACUGCAACCUUGAUGACGCUUUUCUCCUCGGUGGCGUGUGUGCAUUCUUGUGUGGGUUGUCAGAUCGUCCUGUUUGCCUUAUUUUUCAGGCGUGAUGUGAUGGUUUUUGCCCGGUUUUCCAUUAAUUAAUUAGGCAACUCCCUUUGAUCUUUUUUGAUGAAUUGGGCCCUAAGGGACCGCGUUUCAAAAACUAUAGAAAAGGAGUAUCAUCGAACCACUAGACUGUGUUUUUUCUAUUCAUAGCAUGACGACAUCUCAUAUCUUUUCUUUGAUUGUGUGGUUGGUAAAGAAAUUUGAAAGCGUCUCUCUAGUGUUCUCAAAAUUAAUAUGGGUGUUGAUUAUUUUCCUAUUGCCAGAUUUUGGCCCAUGGAUAAAAAAUGUAGUUGGCCUGAGAAUAACAUCAAGCAUGUCCCCUAGCUUAUUCUAGGAUGUGUUUGGUUAGAGGGACAUGCUAGUGAAGGAACUAUGCCCUUGAGGCAAUAAUAAAGUUGUUAUUUUAUAUUUCCUUAUAUUCAUGAUAAAUGUUUAUUAUUCAUGCUAGAAUUGUAUUGAUCGGAAACCUUAAUACAUGUGUGAAUACAUAGACAAACACUAUAUCCCUAGUGAGCCUCUACUUGACUAGCUCGUUGAUCAAAGAUGGUUAAGGUUUCCUAACCAUGGACAUGAGUUGUCAUUUGAUAACGGGAUCACAUCAUUAGGAGAAUCAUGUGAUGGACAAGACCCAUCCAUUAGCUUAGCAUAAUGAUCAUUCUGUUUUAUUGAUAUUGCUUUCUUCAUGUCAAAUACAUAUUCCUUCGACUAUGAGAUUAUGCAACUCCUGGAUACCGGAGGAAUGCCUUGUGUGCUAUCAAACAUCACAACGUAACUGGGUGAUUAUAAAUAUGCUCUACAGGUAUCUCCGAAGGUGUUUGUUGAGUUGGCAUAGAUCAAGAUUAGGAUUUGUCACUCCGAGUAUCGAAGAGGUAUCUCUGGGCCCUCUCGGUAAUACACAUCAUAAGCUUGCAAGCAAACGACUAAGGAGUUGGUCACGAGGUGAUGUAUUACGGAAUGAGUAAAGAGACUUGCCGGUAACGAGAUUGAACUAGGUAUGAAGAUACUGACGAUCGAAUCUCGGGCAAGUAACAUACUGAUAGGCAAAGGGAAUAACGUAUGUUGCCAUAACGGUUCGACCGAUAAAGAUCUUCGUAGAAUAUGUAGGAUCCAAUAUGAGCAUCCAGGUUCCGCUAUUGGUUAUUGAUCGGAGAGGUGUCUUGGUCAUGUCUACAUAAUUCUCGAACCCGUAGGGUCCGCAUGCUUAACAUUCGAUCACGAUAUUGUAUUAUAUGAGUUAUGUGAUUUGGUGACCGAAUGUUGUUUGGAGUCUCGGAUGAGAUCACGGACAUGACGAGGAGUCUCGAAAUGGUCGAUAGGUAGAGAUUGAUAUAUAGGACGAUAGUAUUCGGACACCAAAAGUGUUCCGGAGUGUAUCGGGUAUUUAUCGGAGUACCGGAGGGGUUACUGGAACCCCCCCGGGGAACAUUGAAGGAAAUAUGCCCUAGAGGCAAUAAUAAAGUUGUUAUUUAUAUUUCCUUAUAUCAUGAUAAAUGUUUAUUAUUCAUGCUAGAAUUGUAUUAACCAGAAACUCAGUACAUGUGUGAAUACAUAGACAAACAUAGUGUCACUAGUAUGCCUCUACUUGACUAGCUCGUUGAAUCAAAGAUGGUUAAGUUUCCUAACCAUAGACAUGAGUUGUCAUUUGAUUAACAGGAUCACAUCAUUAGAGAAUGAUGUGAUUGACUUGACCCAUUCCGUUAGCUUAGCAUUUGAUCGUUUAGUAUAUUGCUAUUGCUUUCUUCAUGACUUAUACAUGUUCCUAUGACUAUGAGAUUAUGCAACUCCCGAAUACCGGAGGAACACUUUGUGUGCUACCAAACGUCACAACAUAACUGGGUGAUUAUAAAGGUGCUCUCAGGUGUCUCCGAUGGUACUUGUUGAGUUGGCAUAGAUCGAGAUUAGGAUUUGUCACUCCGAUUGUCGGAGAGGUAUCUCUGGGCCCUCUCGGUAAUGCACAUCACUAUAAGCCUUGCAAGAAAUGCAACUAAUGAGUUAGUUGCGGGAUGAUGUAUUACGGAACGAGUAAAGAUACUUGCCGGUAACGAGAUUUAACUAGGUAUUGAGAUACCGACGAUCGAAUCUCGGGCAAGUAACAUACCGAUGACAAAGGGAACAACGUAUGUUGUUAUGUGGUUUGACCAAUAAAGAUCUUCGUAGAAUAUGUAGGAACCAAUAUGAGCAUCCAGGUUCCGCUAUUGGUUAUUGACCGGAGAUGAGUCUCGGUCAUGUCUACAUAGUUCUCGAACCCGUAGGGUCCGCACGCUUAAUGUUCGGUGAUGAUCGAUAUUAUGAGUUUAUGUGUUUUGAUGUACCGAAGGUAGUUCGGAGUCCCAAAUGUGAUCACAGACAUGACGAGGAGUCUCAAAAUGGUUGAGACAUAAAGAUUGAUAUAUGGGACGGCUAUAUUCAGAUACCGGAAGGGUUUCGGGUGAUCUCGGAGAAAACCGGAGUGCCGGAGGGGUUACCGGAACCCCCAGGGGCUAAUUGGCCUUGGUGGGCCCUCGUGGAGAGAGAGGGGCCGGCCAGGGCAGGCCGCGCCCCCUCCCCUUGAGUCCGAAUAGGACAAGGAAGGGGGGCACCCCCCUUGCCUUUCCCCUCUCCCACUCCUUCCUUCCCCCUCCUAGUGGGACUAGGAAAGGGGAGUCCUACUCCCACUAGGAGGAUGACUCCUCCUCUUGGCACACCCUCCUAGGGCCGUCCAGCCUCCCCCUUGCUCCUUUAUAUACGGGGGCAGGGGGCACCCCCUGGACACACAAGUUGAUCUUUGAUCUUUUAGCCGUGUGUGGUGCCCCCCUCCACCAUAAUCCACCUCGGUCAUAUCGUAGCGGUGCUUAGGCGAAGCCCUAUGUCGGUAGCUUCAUCAACACCGUCAUCACGUUGUCAUGCUGACGGAACUCUCCCUCGAAGCUCUACUAGAUUGUGAGUUCGUGGGACAUCACCGAGCUGAACGUGUGCAGAUCGCGGAGGUACCGUACGUUCGGAACUAUGAUCGGUUGACCAUGAAGACGUACGACUACAUCAACCGCGUUGUCAUAAUGCUUCCUCUUACGGUCUACGAGGGUACGUGGACGACACUCUCCCCUCUCGUUGCUAUGCAUUACCAUGAUCUUGCGUGUGCGUAGGAUUUUGUUUGAAAUUACUAUGUUCCCCAACAGUGGCAUCCAAGCCAGGUUUAUGCGUAGAUGUUAUAUGCACGAGUAGAACACAAAGGAGUUGUGGGUGUGGAUAUAUACAUAUUGCUUGCCGUCACUAGUUGAUUCUUGAUUCAGCGGCAUUGUUGGAUGAAGCGGCCCAUACCGACAUUACGCGUACGCUUACGCGAGACUGGUUCUACCGACAUGCUUCACACACAGGUGGCUAGUGGGUGUCUAUUUCUCCAGCUUUAGUUGAAUCGGAUUCAAUGAACAGGGUUCUUUCUGAAGAUCAAAAAGCAAUCACUAUACCGCAUUGUGGUUUUUGAUGCGUAGGUAAGAACAGUUCUUGCUCAGCCCGUAGCAGCCACGUAAAACUUGCAACAACAAAGUAGAGGACGUCUAACUUGUUUUUGCAGGGCAUGUUGUGAUGUGAUAUGGUCAAGACAUGAUGCUAAAUUUUAUUGUAUGAGAUGAUCAUGUUUUGUACACAGUUAUCGGCAACUGGCAGGAGCCAUAUGGUUGUCGCUUUAUUGUAUGAAAUGCAAUCGUCAUGUAAUUGCUUUACUUUAUCACUAAACGAUAGAGAUAGUCGUAGAAGCAAUAGUUGGUGAGACGACAACGAUGCUACGAUGGAGAUCAAGGUGUCACGCCGGUGACGAUGGUGAUCAUGACGGUGCUUUGGAGAUGGAGAUCAAAGACACAAGAUGAUGAUGGCCAUAUCAUAUCACUUAUAUUGAUUGUAUGUGAUGUUUAUCUUUUAUGCAUCUUAUUUUGCUUAGAUUGACGAUAGCAUUAUAAGAUGAUCUCUCACUAAAUUUAAAGGUAUAAGUGUUCUCCCUGAGUAUGCACUGUUGCGAAAGUUUGUCGUGCCGAGACACCACGUGAUGAUCGGGUGUGAUAAGCUCUACGUUCACAUACAACGGGUGAAAGCCAGUUUUGCACACGCAGAAUAUUCGGGUUAAACUUGACGAGCGUAGCAUAUGCAGAUAUGGCCUCGGGACACUGAGACCGAAAGGUCGAGCGUGAGUCAUAUAGUAGAUAUGAUCAACAUAGUGAUGUUCACCAUUGAAAACUACUCCAUCUCACGUGAUGAUCGGACUUGGUUUAGUUGAUAUGGAUCACAUGAUCACCUAGAUAAUUAGAGGGAUGUCUGUCUAAGUGGGAGUUCUUAAGUAAUUUGAUUAAUUGAACUUUAAUUUAUCAUGAACUUAGUACCUGAUAGUAUUUUGCAUGUCUAUGUUGUUGUAGAUAGAUGGCCCGCGAUGUUGUUCCGUUGAAUUUUAAUGCGUUCCUUGAGAAAGCAAAGUUGAAAGAUGAUGGUAGCAAUUACACGGACUGGGUCCGUAACUUGAGGAUUAUCCUUAUUGCUGCACAGAAGAAUUACGUCCUGAAAGCACCGCUAGGUGUACCACCCGCGCCGGCAACUGCAGACAUUGUGAAUGUCUGGCAGUCGCGUGUUGGUGACUACUCGAUAGUUCAGUGUGCCAUGCUUUACGGCUUAGAACCGGGACUUCAACGAUGUUUUGAACGUCAUGGGGCAUAUGAGAUGUUCCAGGAGUUGAAGUUAAUAUUUCAAGCAAAUGCCCAGAUUGAGAGAUAUGAGGUCUCCAAUAAGUUCUACAACUGCAAAAUGAAGGAGAAUAGUUUUAUCAGUGAACAUAUACUCAGAAUGUCUGGGUACUAUAAUCACUUGAUUCAACUGGGAGUUAAUCUUCCUGAUGAUAGUGUCAUUGACAGAAUUCUUCAAUCACUGCCACCAAGCUACAAGAGCUUCGUGAUGAACUAUAAUAUGCAAGGGAUGGAUAAGAUUAUUCCCAAGCUCUUCGCAAUGCUAAAGGCUGUGGAGGUAGAAAUCAAGAAGGAGCAUCAAGUGUUGAUGGUCAACAAGACCACCAGUUUCAGGAAAAAGGGUAAAGGGAAGAAGGGGAACUUCAAGAAGAACGACAAGCAAGUUGCUGCUCAAGCGAAGAAGCCCAAGUCUGGAACUAAGCCUGAGACUGAGUGCUUCUACCACAAAGGGACUGGUCACUGGAAGCGGAACCGCCCCAAGUAUUUGGCGGAUAAGAAGGAUGGCAAGGUGAACAAAGGUAUAUGUGAUAUACAUGUUAUUGAUGUAUACCUUACUAAUGCUCACAGUAGCACCUGGGUAUUUGAUACUGGUUCUGUUGCUAAUAUCUGCAACUCGAAAUAGGGACUACAGAUUAAGCAAAGAUUGGCUAAGGACGAGGUGAUGAUGCGCGUGGGAAAUGGUUCCAAAGUCGAUGUGAUCAUGGUCGGCACGCUACCUCUACAUCUACCUUAGGGAUUAGUUUUAGACCUGAAUAAUUGUUAUUUGGUGCCAGCGUUGAGCAUGGAUAUCAUAUCUGGAUCUUGUUUGAUGCGAGACGGUUAUUCAUUUAAAUCUGAGAAUAAUGGUUGUUCUAUUUAUAUGAGUAAUAUCUUUUAUGGUCAUGCACCCUUGAAGAGUGGUCUAUUUUUGAUGAAUCUCGAUAGUAGUGAUACACAUAUUCAUAAUAUUGAAGCCAAAAGAUGCAGAGUUGAUAAUGAUAGUGCAUAUUAUUUGUGGCACUGCCGUUUAGGUCAUAUUGGUGUAAAGCGCAUGAAGAAACUCCAUUCUGAUGGACUUUUGGAAUCACUUGGUACUUGCGAACCAUGCCUCAUGGGCAAGAUGACUAAAACGCCGUUCUCCGGAACAAUGGAGCGAGCAACAGAUUUGUUGGAAAUCAUACAUACUGAUGUAUGUGGUCCAAUGAAUAUAGAGGCCCGCGGCGGGUAUCGUUAUUUUCUCACCUUCACAGAUGAUUUAAGCAGGUAUGAGUAUAUCUACUUGAUGAAACACAAGUCUGAAACAUUUGAAAAGUUCAAAGAAUUUCAGAGUGAAGUGGAAAAUCAUCGUAACAAGAAAAUAAAGUUUCUACGAUCUAAUCGUGGAGGAGAAUAUUGGAGUUAUGAGUUUGGACUUCAUUUGAAACAAUGCGGAAUAGUUUCGCAACUCACUCCACUCGGAACACCACAGCGUAAUGGUGUGUCCGAAUGUCGUAAUCGUACUUUACUAGAUAUGGUGCGAUCUAUGAUGUCUCUUACUGAUUUACCGCUAUCGUUUUGGGGUUAUACUUUAGAGACGACUGCAUUCACGUUAAAUAGGGCACCAUCUAAAUCCGCUGAAACGACGCCUUAUGAACUAUGGUUUGGCAAGAAACCAAAGUUGUCAUUUCUUAAAGUUUGGGGCUGCGAUGCUUAUGUGAAAAAGCUUCAACCUGAUAAGCUCGAACCCAAAUCGGAGAAAUGUGUCUUCAUAGGAUACCCAAAGGAGACUGUUGGGUACACCUUCUAUCACAGAUCCGAAGGUAAGACAUUCGAUGCUAAGAAUGGAUCCUUUCUAGAGAAGGAGUUUCUCUCGAAAGAAGUGAGUGGGAGGAAAGUAGAACUUGAUGAGGUAACUGUACCUGCUCCCUUAUUGGAAAGUAGUUCAUCACAGAAAUCUGUUCCUGUGACUCAUACACCACUUAGUGAGGAAGCUAAUGAUGAUGAUCAUGUAACUUCAGAUCAAGUUACUACCAAACCUCGUAGGUCAACCAGAGUAAGAUCCGCACCAAAGUGGUACGGUAAUCCUGUUCUGGAGGUCAUGUUACUUGACCAUGACGAACCUACGAACUAUGAGGAAGCGAUGAUGAGCCCAGAUUCUGCAAAAUGGCUUGAGGCCAUGAAAUCUGAGAUGGGAUCCAUGUAUGAGAACAAAGUGUGUACUUUGGUUGACUUGCCCGAUGAUCAGCAAGCCAUCGAGAAUAAAUAGAUUUUCAAGAAGAAGACUGACGCUGACGGUAAUGUUACUGUCUACAAAGCUCGACUUGUUGCAAAAGGUUUUCGACAAGUUCAAGGAGUUGACUACGAUGAGAAUUUCUCACCUGUAGCGAUGCUUAAGUCCGUCCGAAUCAUGUUAGCAAUUGCCGCAUUUUAUGAUUACCAAAUUUGGCAAAUGGAUGUCAAAACUGCAUUCCUUAAUGGAUAUCUUAAAGAAGAGUUGUAUAUGAUGCAACCAGAAGGUUUUGUCAAUCCAAAAGGUGCUAACAAAGUGUGCAAGCUCCAGCAAUCCAUUUAUGGACUGGUGCAAGCCUCUCGGAGUUGGAAUAUAUGCUUUGAUAGUGUGAUCAAAGCAUAUGUUUUUAUACAGACUUUUGGAGAAGCCUGUAUUUACAAGAAAGUGAGUGGGAGCUCUGUAGCAUUUCUAAUAUUAUAUGUGGAUGACAUAUUAUUGAUUGGAAAUGAUAUAGAAUUUCUGGAUAGCAUAAAAGGAUAUUUGAAUAAGAGUUUUUCAAUGAAAGACCUCGGUGAAGCUGCUUAUAUAUUGGGCAUCAAGAUCUAUAGAGAUAGAUCAAGACGCUUAAUUGGACUUUCACAAAGCACAUACCUUGAUAAAGUUUUGAAGAAGUUCAAAAUGGAUCAAGCAAAGAAAGGGUUCUUGCCUGUGUUAUAAGGUGUGAAGUUGAGUCAGACUCAAUGCCCGACCACUGCAGAAGAUAGAGAGAAAAUGAAAGGUGUUCCCUACGCUUCAGCCAUAGGCUCUAUCAUGUAUGCAAUGCUGUGUACCAGACCUGAUGUGUGCCUUGCUAUUAGUUUAGCAGGGAGGUACCAAAGUAAUCCAGGAGUGGAUCACUGGACAGCGGUCAAGAACAUCCUGAAAUACCUGAAAAGGACUAAGGAUAUGUUUCUCAUUUAUGGAGGUGACAAAGAGCUUGUCAUAAAUGGUUAGGUUGAUGCAAGCUUUGACACUGAUCCGAAUGACUCUAAGUCACAAACCGGAUACGUGUUUAUAUUGAACAGUGGAGUUGCCAGUUGGUGCAGUUCUAAGCAAAGCAUCGUGGCAGGAUCUACAUGCGAAGCGGAGUACAUAGCUGCUUCAGAAGCAGCAAAUGAAGGAGUCUGGAUGAAGGAGUUCAUAUCCGAUCUAGGUGUCAUACCUUGUGCAUCGGGUCCAAUGAAAAUCUUUUGUGACAAUACUGGUGCAAUUGCCUUGGCAAAAGAAUCCAGAUUUCACAAGAGAACCAAGAACAUCAAGAGACGCUUCAAUUCCAGCCGCGAUCUAGUCAAGGAGGGAGACAUAGAGAUUUGCAAGAUACAUACGGAUCUGAAUGUUGCAGACCCGUCGACUAAGCCUCUCUCACGAGCAAAACAUGAUCAACACCAAGACUCCAUGGGUGUUAGAAUCAUUACUGUGUAAUCUAGAUUAUUUACUCUAGUGCAAGUGGGAGACUGAAGGAAAUAUGCCCUAGAGGCAAUAAUAAAGUUGUUAUUUAUAUUUCCUUAUAUCAUGAUAAAUGUUUAUUAUUCAUGCUAGAAUUGUAUUAACCGGAAACUUAGUACAUGUGUGAAUACAUAGACAAACAGAGUGUCACUAGUAUGCCUCUACUUGACUAGCUCGUUGAAUCAAAGAUCGUUAAGUUUCCUAACCAUAGACAUGAGUUGUCAUUUGAUUAACGGGAUCACAUCAUUAGAGAAUGAUGUGAUUGACUUGACCCAUUCCGUUAGCUUAGCAUUUGAUCGUUCAGUAUAUUGCUAUUGCUUUCUUCAUGACUUAUACAUGUUCCUAUGACUAUGAGAUUAUGCAACUCCCGAAUACCGGAGGAACACUUUGUGUGCUACCAAACGUCACAACGUAACCGGGUGAUUAUAAAGGUGCUCUACAGGUGUCUCUGAUGGUACUUGUUGAGUUGGCAUAGAUCGAGAUUAGGAUUUGUCACUCCGAUUGUCGGAGAGGUAUCUCUGGGCCCUCUCGGUAAUGCACAUCACUAUAAGCCUUGCAAGCAAUGCAACUAAUGAGUUAGUUCUGGGAUGAUGUAUUACGGAACGAGUAAAGAGACUUGCCGGUAACGAGAUUGAACUAGGUAUUGAGAUACCGACGAUCGAAUCUCGGGCAAGUAACAUACCAACGACAAAGGGAACAUCAUAUGUUGUUAUGCGGUUUGACCGAUAAAGAUCUUCAUAGAAUAUGUAGGAACCAAUAUGAUAAUCCAGGUUCCGCUAUUGGUUAUUUACCGGAGAUGAGUCUCGGUCAUGUUGUCGGCGUUCUGGGAACGGGGGUCCCCAUAGCUGCCUGCCUGCGGCUUGCGGCGUGGCUCAAGUGGGGGCCCAACACGGCCCAUCUUCAUCAGCUCAAGCUCAAGACCCUCACGAGGGGCCAAGCCUCGCGGGGCGAACGACAGGGAGCUUCCUCAGAGGUAGCCUCGUCAGGCAAGCUCGCGAGGAGGCAGAGAGAUCAAGGCAGGGGUACCUCGCGAAGAGCCCGUGACGCAAGCCAUAACGAUCGAGACCAGGCGGGUGCCGGCCUGCACAGUGUCCUUGUUUCCUCUUUGGUGCAAAGGGGGCAAGCACAGGCCGAGAUAUCGAGCAAAGGUUACCAUUCCGGUGCAACAAGACCAAGACUAGCAGAGCGGUAGGAUGGAGGUCACCGUGGAGCCCAAGAUGGCGUCAUCACCAGUACUUUUGGCAGCCGAAGACCACCUUUGGUCAGGAUAACUUGUACUACAUGUUCCCCUUCGAAAUGGCCAAUUGUUGGCGCCCUUCCCGCUCAUUAUUUGGGGAGAGGCCCAGGGCCUCUAUAAAUAGAGCUAGCCACCACAGAGUAGAGACAUCUAGAAAACACCCAGAGAUCUGGUAGAGCCCUAGCAGAGAGAGAGAGAGAGGCGACUGAACUCACCCUAGCAGUUCAUCGCACCAGUUCAAGAACACCUCUCGCGAGGCUGUUCUUCCUUUGUACUGUUCAUCAUCAGCCCCUGAGGCAAUCCACCACACCACACACUAGAGUAGGGUAUUACACCACAACGGUGGCCCGAACCAGUAUAAACCUUGUGUCCCUUGUGUCGUUCGUUGUUUCCAGCUUAAAUUGCACGAGGAGAUUGGACGUAGAUCGGUAGGGGAGAGAUCUUCGCGCACACCCCAGUGUUCGAACCUCACGGGUCUGGCGGAACCCGAAAUCUGACAUUUGGCGCGCCAGGUAGGGGUGCGCCGGAGUCCUCCCUCCUGACGACCCGCUCUCCCCAACAUCGCAUACCGCCUUCAUGGCGGACAGCGCGCCGCCCGCUCCAGCAACGGAUGCCGACGCAGGGGCCAGGGGGCUCCGGGCCUUGGCCCCACCUUGCGACAGGUGCAGUGGCCGCGCAAGUUCAGGCCCGAGAUGCCGCCGCGCUACGACGGCACGACAGACCCGAUGAUUUUCUUGCUGGCGUACGAGGAGGCCGUCCUCGGAGCCGGGGGCGACGAUCGGGUGAUGGCCAACUGGUUACCCAUGGCCCUCACCGGCAUCCCGCGCGCGUGGCUCCUCCACCUGCCGACGGCCUCUGUCACCUCCUGGGAGGAGCUGCGCGACCUCUUCCUCGCCCGUUUCGCCGCACCAGCGCCACCCAUCGUCGCAGCUCUCCUGGGUGGCUCCCAGGCACCACCCUCGAGUCAUCACAUCAAGCCGUUCGCCCGCCGGAUCAGCACCGCCUCCAAGCUCCGAGAAGCCCCCCGGGUUGGGUGGCGCCCAAGGCCGAUCUAACCUUCGACUCAGAGGACCACCCCUUCAACCCCAUUGGUUCGGGCGCGCUCCCGAUGCUGUGCACCCCCACCAUCUGCCAAGUGGCCGUAACCAAGACCCUCAUCGACGGUGGUGCCGGCCUCAACGUGCUCUCAGUGGAGGCCUUCAGCCUCCUCCACGUGCCGCUGGAGCGGCUCCAGCCCAGCAGGCCUUUCUCGGGCGUCGGAGCCGGUUCCACCGCCUCCUUGGGACAGAUCCGCCUCCCAGUGACCUUCGGCACCUGCGACAACUUUCGCACGGAGCUGAUCGACUUCGACAUUGCCCCCAUUGGCAUCCCCUACAACGCCAUCCUCGGCUAUCCGGCCUUGGCUCAGUUCAUGGCAGCAACUCACCCGGCGUAUAACCUCAUGAAGAUGCCCGGGAGCAGCGGCGUCCUCACCGUAUCAGGAGACACAAGGGAUGCGCUGCAGGUGCUCCAACUUGUUUUCAGGGCGGCCGCGGUGGCGCAACCCACUAGCACCGAUGCCCUUGAGCCCAAGGGGGCUACGCCGGCUAAAAAUAAGCAGUUGUUCACCCAAGACAAGGCGGAAACCAAGCAGGUACCAGUCGACGAGGACGGGUCCACUGGCGCCACCUUCACCAUAGGGGCCAUCCUCGAGCCCGAGCAGGAGAAGGCCCUGAUCAGGUUCCUGCGCGCGAACAAGGAGGUGUUCGCAUGGGAACCAGAUCAGUUAGCGGGGGUCCCAAGGGAAGUGAUUGAGCAUCACCUCAACGUGUGCCCCAAUGUGCGCCCCGUGAAGCAGAAGGCAAGGCGGCAGUCUACUGAGAAACAAGCUUUCAUCGUUCAAGAGACCCAGAAGCUAGAGGCGACAGGGGUUAUUCGCGAGGUCCGCUACCCUGAUUGGCUGGCUAAUCCGGUCGUUGUGCCUAAGAAGGGAGGAAAAGAGCGCAUGUGCAUCGACUUCACCGACCUCAACGAGGCCUGCCCGCAGGAUCCAUUUCCGCUCCCCCGCAUCGACCAGAUAGUCGACUCCACCAUAGAGUGUGACCUAUUGUGCUUCCUGGAUGCCUUCUCGGGCUAUCACCAGAUCAAGAUGGCGGUAGAGGACGUGGAGAAGAUGGCUUUCCUGACCCCGUGUGGGGUGUACUGCUAUACGUGCAUGCCGUUUGGGCUGCGCAACACAGGCGCGACCUUUUAGCGGCUGAUGCACAUCGCCUUAGGCCGACAGCUCGGGAGGAACGCUGAAGCUUACGUCGAUGACAUUGUGGUGAAGUCUCGUGAGGCAAGAACCCUGAUACAGGACCUGGAAGAAACCUUUGCAAGCCUUAACGAAGUGGACCUACGGCUCAACCCAGAGAAGUGCGUGUUUGGAGUCCCCUCGGGCAAGCUCUUGGGUUUCCUCGUAUCCCACAGGGGCAUCGAGGCCAACCCGGAGAAGGUCAAGGCAGUCGAAGACAUGAGCCCGCUGAGGACCCUCAGAGAAAUGCAGAAGCUCACCGGGCGUGUGACUGCGCUGGGGCGCUUCAUCUCCAAGCUGGGGGAACGAGCGCUCCCCUUCUUCAAGCUGAUGAAGAAAAAGGGCCCCUUCGAAUGGACUGAAGAGGCCGACAAGGCGUUCCAAGACCUCAAGAGGUACCUUACCAGUCCACAAGUGAUGGUAGCUCCGCGUCCUCGGGAGCCCCUGGUGCUCUACCUUGCGGCCACCCGCUACUCCACUAGCGCAGCCCUGGUGGCGGUCAGGGAGGAGCGCUGUGCCAAGGCCGCGUCGACCGUCCGAACUGAAGCAAAGUAGAUCCAGGAGGGCCUCGCGAAGGCCGCAACCGCAGCCGGAAAGGAACAGCCGCAGCAGGAGAACGCACCCGGAGCAGGAGAGGCCCCUUCGGGCGACCAAGCACUGGGAGCCCCGUCGUCUCAAGAAACGCCUCGACCUCCGGAGGACGCAAGCUGUGCCAGCACCCUCAACCUCGUCGAGCAUCCUGUGUACUUCGUCAGCACGGUGCUACGGGACGCAAGGGCACGGUAUCCCAUGCCUCAAAAACUCCUCCUCACGCUCCUAGUGGCCUCACGCAAGCUGCGCCACUACUUCCAAGGACAUCCCAUCAAAGUUGUCUCAGCAUACCCCUUGGAAAGAGUGCUCAGAAGUCCCAACUCAGCUGGAAGGGUUGCUGAAUGGAACAUUGAGCUACAUGCAUUUCAGCUAGAAUUCAGUACAACUAGAGUCAUCAAGGGAGCCACACUUGCGGAUUUCGUGGCAGAAUGGGCAGAAGCGCCGGGUCUCGAGGCAGGCGAAGACCGAUCACUUUCCCCGGGGAGUGAAGCACCGGAUGACUGGGUCAUGUACUUCGAUGGGGCGUUCUCCCGACAUGGUGCGGGAGCUGGCGCAGUGCUUGUGUCCCCUACCCAGGACAAACUCUAUUACGCCGUACAACUCUGCUUCCAGCACGGAGAAAAGGUCUCCAACAACAUAGCGGAGUACGAAGGCCUAAUAGCAGGCUUGAAGGCCGCUAUUGCCUUAGGGGUAAAGCGCGUCAUCAUCAAGGGCGAUUCGUAGCUCCUCAUCAACUUCUCCAACAAGAUAUACGGGCCAAAGGAUGAGCACAUGGAAGCCUACCUCGCUGAGGUUCGCAAGAUGGAGAAACAGUUCUGGGGGCUGGAGUUGCAGCAUGUGCCUCGCGGCACCAAUCGGGAGGCCGAUGACAUUGCCAAAAGGGCGUCCAGACUGCUGCCUCAGGAGCCUGGCGUCUUCGAGGAGCGGCUCUUCAAACCCUCGGCGGUGCCGCCACUGUCAAGAACGGCGCAACCAAGGGAGGAGCUCCCUCAGCCACCUGCCUCAGGAGCCCCGGUCUGUGGCCCAGCCUCAGGGGCACGCCUGCUCCUGGCGUUAGAGCCUCAGGAAGGGUGUUGGAUCCCGGAGCUCAAGAACUACCUGAUGCAAGGGACUCUGCCAGAGAAUGAGGAGGAAGCGGAGCGUGUGGCGCGGCAGGCCACGGCUUAUUGCAUCAGGGAUGGAGAGCUCUACAGGAAGCGACCAAAUGACGUGUCCCUACGUUGCAUCUCCCGAGAGCAAGGGACGGAGCUACUGUCGGACAUACACAGCGGAGACCGCGGGCACCACUCGUCGUCACGGACCCUCAUCGGCAAGGCGUUCUGCAGUGGAUUCUACUGGCCCACGGCGCUCAACGACGCCGUUGAGCUUGUGAAGGCUUGCGAGGCCUGCCAGUUUCACGCUAAGUAGAUCCAUCAGCCUGCGGGGGUUCUACAGACUAUACCCCUCUCAUGGCCGUUCACAGUUUGGGGACUGGACAUUCUGGGCUUGUUUCCUCGAGCGCCAGGGGGCUAUCGCUACCUCUACGUCGCCGUGGACAAAUUCACCAAGUGGGCUGAGGUGGAAGCCGUCCGCACGAUCUCGGCAGGCUCUGCGGUCAAAUUCAUCAAGAGCCUCGUGAGCCGAUUUGGGGUGCCCAACCGCAUCAUCACCGACGACGUCUUGCAAUUCACGAGUAAUCUCUUCAAAACGUACUGCGCUAACCUUGGAACGCAGAUAUGCUACGCUUCAUUAGCACACCCCCGGAGCAACGGCUAGGCCAAGCGGGCCAAUGCGGAGGUCUUGAGGGCCCUCAAAGCCAGGACCUUCAAGAAGAAGCUGAAGGCCUGCGGCAGGGGUUGGUACGACGAGCUCCAGUCCGUGCCGUGGUCAAUCCGCACAACUGCGACCAAGCCGACCGGCGAGACCUCGUUCUUCCUCGUCUACGGAGCAGAGGCUGUUCUCCCUCACGAGGUCAGGCGUCGCUCCGCACGGGUCCUGGCGUUCGACGAGACGCAGCAGGACGCCAUGCGGGGGAUGGAUCUUGUGCUGGGGGAGGAACACCGUAGAGAAGCCGCGCUGCGAGCAGCAAGGUACCAAUAGGCGCUACGACGAUACCACUGCCGCAACAUCCGCCCCAGAACUCUUGAGGUAGGGGAUCUCGUGCUCAGACGGGUUCUCUCUAGGGAGGGGCUGCACAAGCUCUCUCCCAUGUGGGAGGGCCCAUUCAAGGUUGUUCAUGUCUCUAGGCCCGGCUCCACGCGCUUGGAGAUCAUGGAGGGGGUACCCAUCCAGAAUGCCGACACAUGUCUACACAGUUCUCAAACCCGUAGGGUCCGCAUGCUUAACGUUCGAUGACGAUCGGUAUUACGAGUUUAUGUGUUUUGAUGUAUCGAAGGUAGUUCGGAGUCCCGGAUGUGAUCACGGACAUGACGAGGAGUCUCGAAAUGGUUGAGACAUAAAGAUUGAUAUAUUGGACAGCUAUAUUCUGACACCAGAAGGGUUUCGGGUGAUUUCGGAGAAAACCGGAGUGCCGGAGGGGUUACCGAAACCCCCCAGGGGCUAAUGGGCCUUGAUGGGCCCUAGUGGAGAGAGAGGGGCUGGCUAGGGCAGGCCGCGCGCCCCCUCCCCUUGAGUCCGAAUAGGACAAGGAAGGGGGGGCCCUUGCCUUUCCCCUCUUCCACUCCUUCCUCCCCCUCCUAGUGGGACUAGGAAAGGGGAGUCCUACUCCCACUAGGAGGACUCCUCCUCUUGGCGCGCCCUCCUAGGGCCGGCCGGCCUCCCCCCUUGCUCCUUUAUAUACGGGGGCAGGGGCACCCCAUGGACACACAAGUUGAUCUUUGAUCUUUUAGCCGUGUGCGGGGCCCCCUCCACCAUAAUCCACCUCGAUCAUAUUGUAGCGGUGCUUAGGCGAAGCCCUGCGUCGUUAGCUUCAUGAACACCGUCAUCACGCCGUCCUGCCGACGGAACUCUCCCUCUAAGCUCUACUGGAUCGUGAGUUCAUGGGACGUCACCAAGCUGACCGUGUGCAGAUCGCGGAGGUGUCGUACGUUCGGUACUAGGAUCGGUCGAUCCUGAAGACGUACAAUUACAUCAACCACGUUGUCAUAACGCUUCCGCUUAUGGUCUACGAGGGUAUGUGGAGGACACUCUCCCCUCUCGUUGCUAUGCAUCACCGUGAUCUUGCGUGUGCGUAGGUUUUUUUGUUGAAAUUACUACGUUCCCCAACAAACAUAUGGGCCACAUGGGCCAUGGGAGGGGAGCACACCAGCCCACAAGGGGUGGCGUGUCCCCCUUAUGUCAGAAGGUAGAAUUGGAGAAGGAGAAGAGGGGGUUCGGCCCCUCUUCCUUCUCUUCUUCCCUCUUCCCUUUUUCCUUUCGGCAAUUAUGGCAGGGGGGAGGCCGAAUUGGGGAAGACCGCAAGUAGGAUUCGGCCUACUUGGGGCGCACCCCUUGGCUGCUCCUCCCUCCCUCCACCUAUAUAUAUGUGGGGGGUGCCCCUAGCACACCCCAAACAAUUGCCUAGCCGUGUGCGGCAUCCCCUUCCACCGUUUACACCCUCGGUCAUAUUUUCGUAGUGCUUAGGCGAAGCCAUGUGGAGAUCACUUCACCAUCACCGUCACCACGCCGUCGUUCUAAUGAAACUCAUCUACUACCUCUACAUCUUGUUGGAUCAAGAAGGCGAGGGACAUCACCGAGCUGAACGUGUGUAUAACGCAAAGGUGUCGUGCGUUCGGUACUUGAUCGGUUGAAGCGCGGAGAAGUUCGACUACAUCAACCAUGUUGUGAAACGCUUUUGCUUACGGUCUACGUGGGUACGUAGACACACUCUGCCCCUCGUUGCUAUGCAUCUCCAUGGAUGGAUCAUUGCAUGCGUGGCUAUAAAUUUUUUUAUUUCCAUGCAAUGAUUCCUAGCAGUGGUAUCAGAGCUAGGUCUAUGUGUAGAUGAUAUGCACGAGUAGAACACAAAGAGUUGUGGGUGGUGAUAGUCAUACUGCUUACCACCAACGUCUUAUUUUGAUUCAGCGGUAUUGUGGGAUGAAGCGGCCAGACCAACCUUACAUGUCCACACACAUGAGACCGGUUCCACCGAUUGACAUGCAACUAGUUUUGCAUAAAGGUGGCUGGCGGGUGUCUGUGUCUCCUACUUUAGUUGAAUAGAGUUUGACUGCUGCCGAUCCUUGAAGAAGGUUAAAACAGCAAACUUGACAAGACACCAUUGUGGUUUCACUACUAGGGAAAAGCCUAGUAGUAGCGUGGGUAGCCGCGCUACUGAUACGGCGCUACAGCUAACGCUUAGCGGUAGCGCGGUUUGACCCACACUACUGCAAUCCAGGGAUAGCAGUAGCGUUCGUUGCCAAAACGCGCUGCUGCUAAUAGCUGUAGCGCCCUAGUACAAAGAGCGCUACUACUAAGACCUCACUGCUGCUAAAGCCAUACCCCACACUACUAUUAUUAGUUUUUGAAUUAUUAUUUUCUGCUCCAUAUUUUGUGCUGCUGAAUUUUGUUUACGGCUUUAUACAAUAAUCUCUAGCAUAUCAUACACAUACAAAUGUAAUCAUAGCAUACACAUACAAAUAUUCUCAUCAAAUCAUGUCAUCAUCAUAAUCAUCAUCCAACACAAAGUGGUCUCUCGUCAUCAUCUCGAAAAUAACGAUACAAGUCUUGAAUACUUGCAACUACAUCAUCAUCCAUCUAAACAAUGAUAUACUCAAGCAGAGCUAUCACUAUGAGUGAGAGUGGAACUAUGCAGUACAUGAGGCAUCGGUUAUGAGUCCUCUCUUGCGCUAGCGUGAACCUCAAGUAACUAGCUUAUGCUUCUUUUCUGCUUUUGAAGCCUUUAUGGCUGGCGCCCGAGACCCCCUCCACUUGCACCUGACACUCAGGCCACUUGUCGUACACUCCCCAAACCUUCCCUUUGUACACGACAUAGCACUGCUUCUACGCCAUCAAGAACCUAGGUACCUGUUAGAGAUGCAUCUUCAUCAAGAGACUGUACAAUCAUAUAUGCAACAAAAUACACUUGAGCAACACGAAAAAGAAAGGGUUAGAAACUAGAUGCAACAUAUAUAUAGUAAACGUACAAAUAAUCAACGCAGUUUCAUUGUAUGCAAACUAAUUAACUAGAGGUACGCAUGUCAUCGUACCCAAACUAACAAAGUGGCCUUAUGCAAGUUCAGCAGGGACGGUGGACAUCACAAAGUUUCAUCGCUACAGCAACUAUACAAGUUCAACCGACACAUAUCAUCAUCAUCGGCAUCGUAAAUCACUAGAAGUUCCAUCCUUCCAUAUCAUCGAGGAUGGACCCUAGCUUCUUGAACAGCGUGAGGUCCUGACGUUGCAUGCCUAUGCGAUUUAGGAUGUCUGCUCGCGAUAUAGGGCUGUGGUGGAACAUCCCCUUCUCUUCGACGACUUCUUUCAUGAUGAUCGUCGCAUUGUCCCUCUGGAUGUGAAAGAAGUCAUCACUAAGUUUAUAAUCCGCUUCUCCAUGAGAUUCUACCCACUUGCGGAUAAGAUCAUCGUUUCUGCUUGUCAUGUGAAGCUUUUGGUGAUCCGUUCUGAACUCCAUCAUAAGAUGGAGGAGGAAGAAUCCAUCGUUCUUGCUUGGUUUUGGGACAUGGAUGCAAAAAAAGUUAGUUUUAUGCGAGAAACCCAUGUUCUCGUCCCUUUGUUUCCUGAUCUACAGGUGGCCACCCCUCAAGCUGAAGCCUUGUAGAGCAUAAUAUUCAUUAUGUGGGAGUAGUCCUUCUUCUCGUAGUUUCUGGUAGGGUUGAAAUACACGACGUGGGAGACUCCCGGGUAAAGAACGAUAAGGACGGUGCGCCCGUUGCUGCGGGGAAAAACACCUCAAAUUAUUCUCCAUAUGACUGAGAAGGAAUGAUUGAAAUGUAUGAAAGGGUUGUCCGGCACUGACUUACUUUGGAUGAUAAGGUAGGAGGACAAUUUCCUGGUCCUUAUUCUAUACCAUGAUGUUUUCAAGGUACUCCCUAGAAGUUUUACGCUCAAAGACGCCGAGACUCAAGAAGGACUCAUACAUGUAGUAUGGAUCCGCCACAUAGAUUUGCGAGACUUCUUCUCUCUUCAUGACGGAGCUCAUAUGUAGCGCAAAAAGGCAGACGAUUGUACAAUCGAGCCGCCUUGUUAGAAACAUCUCGAAGAUAUGCUCAAACUGCAGGAAGAACACCUCUGCGGGCCGUGUGUCGACGUAGCACUUCCCCUCAGGCACACGAGCCGCGUAUGUCGGAUAUCCUAGAUCUUCGAGGCUAGUAGGCUUUCCUCAGUCAUCAACACAUGGUCGUGCAGUCUCCUAAGAUCCCUUGAUAUUGUCUCUAGCGGUUUCGGUAGCAUCGGCUCGCCCGUGACAUGGAAUAUGGCUGCACCUUUGUUAGGUACACGCUCUUCAAAAUCCGCCAUCUGGCUGCUAUGUGCUCUGCCUUGUUUGCAGGCAGCAGAGCCUCUCUUCCCCGAUCUCUUCCUCUCCUUUUUCUUGGGCUGACCUUCCAAACCCUUCCUUAACCCUUGCCCCAGUGUUGUCGGGCUAAGCAUUGUACGACCCCCGGCUAGUUGAGCCUGUGUUGAGGCGGCAUCUUCAGGUGUGUCCUAUGAGGAUUGCAUAAAGAGAGACUUCUUGCAAUCCCUUCUAGGACAUUCCUUCCUGAGCAGAUCAUCCAUAUCCUCAUCAGCAUGCUGAUAGCCCAAGUCGUCAUAUGGCUAACUCACCAUAUCUAAGUCACCGUCAUAAGCGCUUGUAUUGAGGAACCGAAGAGGGCCCUCCUCCAUCUCAUCAUCCAUUCUUUGUUCUACGGGGGCGAUUACAUUAGCCACUAUCGGACCCCCUUCAUCACAUCGUCUGCGGCUCACACUACAAAAAAAGACACAUCCGUGACAUUUUGGGCCGAACGAAAAAAAAUUCUGUCAUACUUAUGAUACUUCUAUGACGAUAAUUGUGACAAAACCCGGUAUCAUCAUAGAUGUGGUGGGUUCCUACUUCUAUGACAAAAAAUCAUGAUAGAAAAUGGGCUUUUCGUCCUGGGCGGGCUGGAGACGCAGCUGCAUGACAUUCUUUGGGCCGUCCAUGAUGGAAAAAAUUGUGGUAGAAGCGAGGGCGAGGAAAAUAUCGGGGAGUUCCAGGUUACGGUGGGUGGUCGGGGGCCGAGUGAUGCGCAUUUCCCUCGUACAUACGCAUGUGUGUGCGAGGCGUUGCGCUCUAACUGAACCUGAGUGAGGCGUUGGGCUCUAACUGAACCUGAGCGAUUGCACUGCAGGCUACGCGUUACUGAACCCGAGCGAUCGAUCGAUCCCUUGCUAUUAACUGAACCCGAGUGAUUCCUUCGCUAUUGCUGCUAACUGAAGCCGAUCGAACACUGCUGCCUCCUUCCCUUGAUGAACAGUGAGCGNNNNNNNNNNNNNNNNNNNNNNNNNNNNNNNNNNNNNNNNNNNNNNNNNNNNNNNNNNNNNNNNNNNNNNNNNNNNNNNNNNNNNNNNNNNNNNNNNNNNNNNNNNNNNNNNNNNNNNNNNNNNNNNNNNNNNNNNNNNNNNNNNNNNNNNNNNNNNNNNNNNNNNNNNNNNNNNNNNNNNNNNNNNNNNNNNNNNNNNNNNNNNNNNNNNNNNNNNNNNNNNNNNNNNNNNNNNNNNNNNNNNNNNNNNNNNNNNNNNNNNNNNNNNNNNNNNNNNNNNNNNNNNNNNNNNNNNNNNNNNNNNNNNNNNNNNNNNNNNNNNNNNNNNNNNNNNNNNNNNNNNNNNNNNNNNNNNNNNNNNNNNNNNNNNNNNNNNNNNNNNNNNNNNNNNNNNNNNNNNNNNNNNNNNNNNNNNNNNNNNNNNNNNNNNNNNNNNNNNNNNNNNNNNAGUAGAGGCCGUUGCCGCUGGAUGACCAGGACCCCGAUCGAUCGAGCCAGUGGAUGAACAUGACCCCGUGGAGGGGUGGAUGAACAGGACCCCGUGGAGGGGUGGAUGAACAUGACGACGCCGUGGAGGGCUGGUUGAACAGUAGACGAUGGAGGGCUGGAUGAACAGUAGACCAUGGAGGGGUGGUUGAACAGGACCCCGUGGAGAGGGCUGGUUGAACAGUAGCCGCGGUGGAGGAGCGCAUGGUGGUGGCUGGAUGAACAGGAGUCCAUGGAUGAAUAGUCGCAGGUGGAGGUUGGAGGAGGUCGACGGUGGAUGAACAAUAGCCCGUGGAGGCAGUCGACGGUGGAUGAACAGUAGCCCAUAGAGGCAGCCGAUGGUGGAGAUGAACAGUAUCCCAUGGAGUCCCCUUUUGCGGUACGCCACACCCCUCCUAAUGAAUAGGACCCCCGCUUCGACCGUAGUGCUCCAACACAAGUUCGUUUCCUCCGUUUUGUGGUACGCCACACCCAUCCCGAUCAAUAGGACCCCGUUUCCACCAUAGGAAGUCCGUUUCCUCCGUUUUGCGGUACGCCAGACCCCUCCCGAUGAACAGGAUCCCGUUUCGACCGUGGCCGGUCGAACACAAGGCCGUUUCCUCCAUUCUGCGGUACACCAGGCCUCAUUUCCUUCGAUUGUUCCGUCCAAGCUGGUUGGCUCCCAAUGAACAUGACGAUGCAUUCCGUUCCGACCCAGCCGGUUGCCUCCCCAUGAUCACGACGACGGCGCAGCUUCUCUGUUCCGAUCCAACCAUGUACAUGAGUCCUAGCCAUACGUAUGCGCGAGUAGGCAUUCGAGACCCCACAUGUAUGUAUGUGCAUGGCCGUAUUUUCUUUCUUGCACCCUGGCCACUGUACAUACGUGUACAUGCUACAUGCGCGCCUCUACUAUGACACGUGCGCGCCUCUACAUCAACCAAUAUGUACGUACACGUCCACGACCAAAAUGACAACGCUACAUACACAUCGACCAGGUGGGUCCCGACUGUUAAGCACUUCCUUGCGUGUGAAGAUGUAGCUGGUGGGUCCCAGUAGUCAGGGGGCGAAUCAUUUUUUUGCGCGUAAUAUGGACGCACUUCCUUGCGUGCAAAGAUGUAGCUGGUAGGUCCUAGCAGUCAGGGGGGAAACGUUUUUUUCCACAAAAUAUGGUGGCCCAUCCGGUGGGUCCCUACUGUCAGGUGGAGGAAUAAUUAAUUUGUGCAUAAUAAGGAGGCACUUCCUGUUGGGGAACGUAGUAAUUUCAAAAAAUUUCCUACGCACACGCAAGAUCAUGGUGAUGCAUAGCAACGAGAGGGAGAGUGUUGUCUACGUACCCUCGUAGACCGAAACGGAAGCGUUGACACAACGUAGAGGAAGUAGUCGUACGUCUUCCCGAUCCGACCGAUCCAAGCACCGUUACUCCGGCACCUCCGAGUUCUUAGCACACGUACAGCUCGAUGACGCUCCCCGGGCUCCGAUCCAGCAAAGCUUCGGGGAUGAGUUCCGUCAGCACGACGGCGCGGUGACGAUGAUGAUGUUCUACCUACGCAGGGCUUUGCCUAAGCACUACAACAAUAUGAUCGAGGUGGAAUAUGGUGGCAGGGGGCACCGCACACGGCUAAGGAGCGAUCACCGGGAUCAACUUGUGUGUCUAGGGGUGCCCCCCUGCCCCCGUAUAUAAAGGAGCCAAGGGGAGGGGGUGGCCGGCCAGGUGUGGCACGCCAAGGGGGAGUCCUACUCCCACCGGGAGUAGGACUCCCUUCUUUCCUAGUUGGACAAGGAGAGAGGGGGGGAAAGAGGAGGAAGAGAGGAAGGAAAGGGGGGGCGCCGCCCCCCUUCCCUUGUCCUAUUCGGAGUAGGAAGGGGAGGGGCGCGCGGCCACCUCCUGCCUCCUUCUUUCUUCUCCCUCAAGGCCCAUGUAGGCCCAAUAAACCCCCCCCGGGGGGGGGGGGGUUCCGGUAACCCCCCGGUACUCCGGAAAAAUGCCGAUUUCACCCGGAACGAUUCCGAUGUCCAAAUAUAGGAUUCCAAUAUAUCGAUCUUUAUGUCUCGACCAUUUCGAGACUCCUCGUCAUGUCCAUGAUCACAUUCGGGACUCCGAACAAACUUCGGUACAUCAAAAUGCAUAAAACUCAUAAUAACUGUCAUCGUAACUUUAAGCGUGCGGACCCUACGGUUCGAGAACAAUGUAGACAUGGCCGAGACACGUCUCCGGUCAAUAACCAAUAGCGGGACCUGGAUGCCCAUAUUAGCUCCUACAUAUUCUACGAAGAUCUUUAUCGGUCAGACCGCAUAACAACAUACAUUGUUCCCUUUGUCAUCGGUAUGUUACUUGCCCGAGAUUCGAUCGUCGGUAUCCAAUACCUAGUUCAAUCUCGUUACCGGCAAGUCUCUUUACUUGUUCCGUAAUACAUCAUCUCACAACUAACAUAUUAGUUGUAAUGCUUGCAAGGCUUAUGUGAUGUGCAUUACCGAGAGGGUCCAGAGAUACCUCUCCGACAAUCGGAGUGACAAAUCCUAAUCUCGAAAUACGCCAACCCAACAUGUACCUUUGGAGACACCUGUAGAGCUCCUUUAUAAUCACCCAGUUACGUUCUGACGUUUGGUAGCACACAAAGUGUUCCUCCGGCAAACGGGGAGUUGCAUAAUCUCAUAGUCAUAGGAACAUGUAUAAGUCAUGAAGAAAGCAAUAGCAACAUACUAAACGAUCGGGUGCUAAGCUAAUGGAAUGGAUCAUGUCAAUCAGAUCAUUCAUCUAAUGAUGUGAUCCCGUUAAUCAAAUAACAACUCUUUGUCCAUGGUUAGGAAACAUAACCAUCUUUGAUUAACGAGCUAGUCAAGUAGAGGCAUACUAGUGACACUCUGUUUGUCUAUGUAUUCGCACAUGUAUUAUGUUUCCGGUUAAUACAAUUCUAGCAUGAAUAAUAAACAUUUAUCAUGAAAUAAGGAAAUAAAUAAUAACUUUAUUAUUGCCUCUAGGGCAUAUUUCCUUCAGUCUCCCACUUGCACUAGAGUCAAUAAUCUAGUUCACAUCGCUAUGUGAUUAACACCAAUAGUUCACAUCUUUAUGUGAUUGGUUCACAUCUCCAUGUGACUAACACCCAAAGGGUUUACUAGAUUCAAUAAUCUAUUUCACAUCGCUAUGUGAUUAACACCCAAAGGGUGAUUAUGUUUUGCUUGUGAGAGAAAUUUAGUCAACGGGCCUGCCAAAUUCAGAUCCGUAUGUAUUUUGCAAAAUUCUAUUCUACAAUGCUCUGCACGGAGCUACUCUAGCUAAUUGCUCCCACUUUCAAUAUGUAUCCAGAUUGAGACUUAGAAUCAUCUGGAUCAGUGUCAAAAACUUGCAUCGACAUAACCCUUUACGACAAACCUUUUUGUCAUGUCCAUAAUCGAGAAACAUAUCCUUAUUUCACUAAGGAUAAUUCUGACCACUGUCCAGUGAUCUACUCCUAGAUCACUAUUGUACUCCCUUGCCAAAUCAGUGCAGGGUAUACAAUAGAUCUGGUAUACAGCAUGACAUACUUUAUAGAACCUAUGGCCAAGGCAUAGGGAAUGACUUUCAUUCUCUUUCUAUCUUCUGCCGUGCUCGGGCUUUGAGUCUUACUCAACUUCACACCUUGUAAUACAGGCAAGAACUCUUUCUUUGACUGCUCCAUUUUGAACUACUUCAAAAUCUUGUCAAGGUAUGUACUCAUUGAAAAAACUUAUCAAGCGUCUUGAUCUAUCUCUAUAGAUCUUGAAGCUCAAUAUGUAAGCAGCUUCUUCGAGGUCUUUCUUUGAAAAAACUCCUUUCAAACACUCCUUUAUGCUUUGUAGAAUAAUUCUACAUUAUUUCCGAUCAACAAUAUGUCAUUCACAUAUACUUAUCAGAAAUGCUGUAGUGCUCCCACUCACUUUCUUGUAAAUACAGGCUUCACCGCAAGUCUGUAUAAAACUAUAUCCUUUGAUCAACUUAUCAAAGCGUAUAUCCUGACUCCGAGAUGCUUGCACUAGUCCAUAGAUGGAUCGCUGGAGCUUGCAUAUUUUGUUAGCAUCUUUAGGAUUGACAAAACCUUCUGGCUGCAUCAUAUACAACUCUUCUUUAAAUCCAUUAAGGAAUGUAGUUUUGUUUAUCCAUUUGCCAGAUUUCAUAAAAAUGCGGCAAUUGCUAGCAUGAUUUGGACAGACUUAAGCAUCGCUACGAGUGAGAAAAUUUCAUCGUAGUCAACACCUUGAACUUUGUCAAAAACCUUUUUCGACAAGUCUAGCUUUAUAGAUAGUAACACUACUAUCAGCGUCUGUCUUCCUCUUGAAGAUCCAUUUAUUUUCUAUGGCUUGCCGAUCAUCGGGCAAAUCCAUCAAAGUCCAUACUUUGUUCUCAUACAUGGAUCAUAUCUCAGAUUUCAUGGCUUCAAACCAUUUCGUGGAAUCUGGGCUCAUCAUCGCUUCCUCAUAGUUCGCAAGUUUGUCAUGGUCUAGUAACAUGACUUCCAGAACAGGAUUACCGUACCACUCUGGUGCGGAUCUCACUCUGGUUUACCUAUGAGAUUCGGUAGUAACUUGAUAUGAAGUUACAUGAUCAUCAUCAUUAGCUUCCUCACUAAUUGGUGUAGUAGUCACAAGAACAGAUUUCUGUGAUGAACUACUUUCCAAUAGGGGAGCAGGUACAGUUACCUCAUCAAGUUCUACUUUCCUCCCACUCACUUCUUUCGAGAGAAACUCCUUUUCUAGAAAGGAUCCAUUCUUAGCAACGAAUGUUUUGCCUUUGGAUCUGUGAUAGAAGGUGUACCCAACAUUUUCUUUUGGGUAUCCUAUGAAGACGCACUUCUCCGAUUUGGGUUUGAGCUUAUCAGGUUGAAACUUUUUCACAUAAGCAUUGCAACCUCAAACUUUAAGAAAUGACAACUUAGGUUUCUUUGCCAAACCAUAGUUCAUGUGGUGUCGUCUCAACGGAUUUAGAUGGUGCCCUAUUUAACGUGAAUGCAGCUGUCUCUAAUGCAUAACCCCAAAACGAUAGUGGUAGAUCGGUAAGAGACAUCAUAGAUCGCACCAUAUCUAAUAAAGUACGGUUAUGACGUUUGGACACACCAUUACAUUGUGGUGUUCCAGGUGGCAUGAGUAGUGAAACUAUUUCACAUUGUUUUUAACUGAAGGCCAAACUCAUAACUCAAAUACUCUUCUCUACGAUCAGAUCAUAGAAACUUUAUUUUCUUGUUACGAUGAUUUUUCACUUCACUCUGAAAUUCUUUGAACUUUUCAAAUGUUUCAGACUUAUGUUUCAUCAAGUAGAUAUACUCAUAUCUGCCCAAAUCAUUUGUGAAGAUCAGAAAAUAAUGAUACCUGUCGCGAGCCUCAAUAUUCAUCGGACCACAUACAUCAGUAUGUAUGAUUUCCAACAAAUCUGUUGCUCGCUCCAUUGUUCCGAAGAACAGAGUCUUAGUCAUCUUGCGCAUGAGGCAUGGUUCGCAAGCAUCAACUGAUUCAUAAUCAAGUGAUUCCAAAAGCCCAUCAGCAUGGAGUUUCUUCAUGCGCUUUACACCAAUAUGACCUAAACGGCAGUUCUACAAAUAAGUUGCACUAUCAUUAUUAACUUUGCAUCUUUUGGUUUCAAUAUUAUGAUUAUGUGUAUCACUACGAUCGAGAUCCAAUGAACUAUUUCCAUUGGGUGUGUAACCAUAUAAGGUUUUAUUCAUAUAAACAGAACAACAAUUUAUUCUCUUAUCUAAAUGAAUAACCGUAUUACAAUAAACAUGAUCAAAUCAUAUUCAUGCUCAACGCAAACACCAAAUAACACUUAUUUAGGUUCAACACUAAUCCCGAAAUUAUAGGGAGUGUGCGAUGAUGAUCAUAUCAAUCUUGGAACCACUUCCAACAGACAUCGUCACUGCACCCUUAACUAGUCUCUGUUUAUACUGCAACUCCCGUUUCGAGUUACUAAUCUUAGCAACUGAACUAGUAUCAAAUACUGAGGGUUUGCUAUAAACAUUAGUAAAGUACACAUCAAUAACAUGUAUAUCAAAUAUACUUAUGUUCACUUUGCCAUCCUUCUUAUCCGCCAAUCACUUGGGGUAGUUCCGCUUCCAGUGACCAGUCCCUUUGCAGUAGAAGCACUUAGUCUCAGGCUUAGGACCAGACUUGGGCUUCUUCACUUGAGCAGCAACUUGCUUGCUGUUCUUCUUGAAGUUCCCCUUCUUCCCUCUGCCCUUUUCUUGAAACUAGUGGUCUUGUCAACCAUCAACACUUGAUGUUUUUCUUGAUUUCUACCUUCGGUUAUUUUAGCAUCACGAAGAGCUUGGGAGUUGUUUCCGUUAUCCCUUGCAUAUUAUAGUUCAUCACGAAGUUCUACUAACUUGGUGAUGGUGACUAGAGAAUUCUGUCAAUCACUAUCUUAUCUGGAAGAUUAACUCCCACUUGAUUCAAGCGAUUGUAGUACCCAGACAAUCUGAGCACAUGCGCACUAGUUGAGCGAUUCUCCUCCAUCUUUUAGCUAUAGAACUUGUUAGAGACUUCAUAUCUCUCAACUCGGGUAUUUGCUUGAAAUAUUAACUUCAACUCCUGGAACAUCUCAUAUGGUCCAUGACGUUCAAAACGUCUUUGAAGUCCCGAUUCUAAGCCAUUAAGCAUGGUGCACUAAACUAUCAAGUAGUCAUCAUAUUGAGCUAGCCAAAUGUUCAUAACGUCUGCAUCUGCUCCUGCAAUAGGUUUGUCACCUAGCGGUGCAUCAAGGACAUGAUUUUUCUGUGCAGCAAUGAGGAUAAACCUCAGAUCACGGAUCCAAUCCGCAUCAUUGCUACUAACAUCUUUCAACACAAUUUUCUCUAGGAACAUAUCAAAAUAAACACAGGGAAGCAACAACGCGAGCUAUUGAUCUACAACAUAAUUUGCAAAAUACUACCAGGACUAAGUUCAUGAUAAAUUUAAGUUCAAUUUAAUCAUAUUACUUAAGAACUCCCACUUAGAUAGACAUCCCUCUAAUCUUCUAAGUGAUUACGUGAUCCAAAUCAACUAAACCAUGUCCGAUCAUCACGUGAGAUGGAGUAGUUUCAUUGGUGAACAUCACUAUGUUGAUCAUAUCUACUACAUGAUUCACGCUCGACCUUUCGGUCUCCGUGUUCCGAGGCCAUAUCUGUAUAUGCUUGGCUCGUCAAGUAUAACCUGAGUAUUCCGCGUGUGCAACUAUUUUGCACCCGUUGUAUUUGAACGUAGAGCCUAUCACACCCGAUCAUCACGUGGUGUCUCAGCACGAAGAACUUUCGCAACGGUGCAUACUCAGGGAGAACACUUCUUGAUAAUUUUAGUGAGAGAUCAUCUUAUAAUGCUACCGUCAAUCAAAGCAAGAUAAGAUGCAUAAAAGAUAAACAUCACAUGCAAUCAAUAUAAGUGAUAUGAUAUGGCCAUCAUCAUCUUGUGCCUGUGAUCUCCAUCUCCGAAGCACCGUCAUGAUCACCAUCGUCACCAGCGCGACACCUUGAUCUCCAUCGUAGCAUCGUUGUCGUCUCGCCAAUCUUAUACUUCUACGACUAUCGCUACCGCUUAGUGAUAAAGUAAAGCAUUACAGGGCGAUUGCAUUGCAUACAAUAAAGCGACAACCAUAUGGCUCCUGCCAGUUGCCGAUAACUCGGUUACAAAACAUGAUCAUCUCAUACAAUAAAAUUUAGCAUCAUGUCUUGACCAUAUCACAUCACAACAUGCCCUGCAAAAACAAGUUAGACGUCCUCUACUUUGUUGUUGCAAGUUUUACGUGGCUGCUACGGGCUUAAGCAAGAACCAAUCUUACCUACGCAUCAAAACCACAACGAUAGUUUGUCAAGUUGGUGCUGUUUUAACCUUCGCAAGGACCGGGCGUAGCCACACUCGGUUCAACUAAAGUUGGAGAAACUGUCACCCGCAAGCCACCUCUGUGCAAAGCACGUCGGGAGAACCGGUCUCGCGUAAGCGUACGCGUAAUGUUGGUCCGGGCCGCUUCGUCCCACAAUACCGCCGAACCGAAGUAUGACAUGCUGGUAAGCAGUAUGACUUAUAUCACCCACAACUCACUUGUGUUCUACUCGUGCAUAUAAUAUCAAUAUAUAAAACCUAGGCUCGGAUGCCACUGUUGGGGAACGUAGUAAUUUCAAAAAAUUUCCUACGCACACGCAAGAUCAUGGUGAUGCAUAGCAACGAGAGGGGAGAGUGUUGUCUAUGUACCCUCGUAGACCGAAACAGAAGCGUUGACACAACAUAGAGGAAGUAGUCGUACGUCUUCCCGAUCCGACUGAUCCAAGCACCGUUACUCCGGCACCUCCGAGUUCUUAGCACACGUAUAGCUCGAUGACGCUCCCCGGGCUCCGAUCCAGCAAAGCUUCGGGGAUGAGUUCCGUCAGCACGACGGCGUGGUGACAAUGAUGAUGUUCUACCGACGCAGGGCUUCACCUAAGCACUACAACGAUAUGAUCGAGGUGGAAUAUGGUGGCAGGGGGCACCGCACACGGCUAAGGAGCGAUCACCGGGAUCAACUUAUGUGUCUAGGGGUGCCCCCUGCCCCCGUAUAUAAAGGAGCCAAGGGGAGGGGACGGCCGGCCAGGUGUGGCGCGCCAAGGGGGAGUCCUACUCCCACCGGGAGUAGGACUCCCUUCUUUCCUAGUUGGACAAGGAGAGAGGGGGGGAAAGAGGAGGAAGAGAGGAAGGAAAGGGGGGGGGCGCCGCCCCCCUUCCCUUGUCCUAUUCGGACUAGGAAGGGGAGGGGCGUGCGGCCACCUCCUGCCUCCUUCUCUCUUCUCCCUCAAGGCCCAUGUAGGCCCAAUAAACCCCCGGGGGGGUUCCGGUAACCCCCCGGUACUCCGGAAAAAUGCCGAUUUCACCCGGAACGAUUCCGAUGUCCAAAUAUAGGCUUCCAAUAUAUCGAUCUUUAUGUCUCGACCAUUUUGAGACUCCUCGUCAUGUCCGUGAUCACAUCCGGGACUCCGAACAAACUUCGGUACAUCAAAAUGCAUAAAACUCACAAUAACUGUCAUCGUAACUUUAAGCGUGCGGACCCUACGGUUCGAGAACAAUGUAGACAUGACCGAGACACGUCUCCGGUCAAUAACCAAUAGCGGGACCUGGAUGCCCAUAUUGGCUCCUACAUAUUCUACGAAGAUCUUUAUCGAUCAGACUGCAUAACAACAUACGUUGUUCCCUUUAUCAUCGGUAUGUUACUUGCCCGAGAUUCGAUCGUCGGUAUCCAAUACCUAGUUUAGCUGAUGCACCACUAUCUAGAUUACAUGAGCCAGAUGUACUCAAUGCCAUUACUUAUCUCGUUACCGGCAAGUCUCUUUACUCGUUCCGUAAUACAUCAUCUCACAACUAACAUAUUAGUUGUAAUGCUUGCAAGGCUUAUGUGAUGUGCAUUACCGAGAGGACCCAAAGAUACCUCUCCGACAAUCGGAGUGACAAAUCCUAAUCUCGAAAUACGCCAACCCAACAUGUACCUUUGGAGACACCUGUAGAGCUCCUUUAUAAUCACCCAGUUACGUUGUGACGUUUGGUAGCACACAAAGUGUUCCUCCGGCAAACGGGAGUUGCAUAAUCUCAUAGUCAUAGGAACAUGUAUAAGUCAUGAAGAAAGCAAUAGCAACAUACUAAACGAUCGGGUGCUAAGCUAAUGGAAUGGAUCAUGUCAAUCAGAUCAUUCAUCUAAUGAUGUGAUCCCGUUAAUCAAAUAACAACUCUUUGUCCAUGGUUAGGAAACAUAACCAUCUUCGAUUAACGAGCUAGUCAAGUAGAGGCAUACUAGUGACACUCUGUUUGUCUAUGUAUUCACACAUGUAUUAUGUUUCCGGUUAAUACAAUUCUAGCAUGAAUAAUAAACAUUUAGCAUGAAAUAAGGAAAUAAAUAAUAACUUUAUUAUUGCCUCUAGGGCAUAUUUCCUUCACUUCCUGGCUGCGGCCGUGGACCCAGCUAUUAGCCUCUCCACGUACAGUGUUGGGGAUAUAACUAUUGGGUAUGACUCGCCCAGGAGGGGCCGGGUUAUCCCAAUGGCGGUUCAUCUAGACGAAGCCCAUGAGUAUGUGAAGAUGGCGGUUCAUGAAGUAGGCUUGUUAAGGGGCCCAAACCGAGAGGCGGCUUAAGGCCCGUGAGUAUAUACCGCCAUGUAUAUGUAACUUGUGUUAUAAGGCAUGUAAGAUAAGUCACCGAGCCGGACACAUUUGUAUGAGCCGGCUAGGACUCUGUAGGCCACAGGGCGUCAACCCAUGUAUAUUCGGGGACGACCCAACAAUGGCUUAGGGCAAGAAACAACAAAUCGAAAGCCAGGCAAAGCAUAUUUGCUCCCUGGUAAUCGAAACCCUAGCAAUACCACCUCAAACUGAAGUAGGCUUUUACCUUCACCGCAAGGGGCCGAACCAGUAUAAACUCUCUGUGUACUUUGUCCCGUUUAACCCCUUUAAGCUAACCUCAUCGCAAUGGCUCCACAACUAAGUCCUUCUACGAGGACAUCUAUCAUGACAAUUCCACGACAUCUAGGAUGCAACAACUAUAUUGUUUUUUCAUCGUGAUAAUAAAUGCAUGCACUUUUUUCGAAAAAUUUGGAGAACUGGGAAUUCGAAUGGCAUGUGCUUAUGCUACCCAUUAAAUAAAAAUCAGGUUCCUGGAAAUUCGUUUCGAAACAAAUGAUUCAUCUUUAUAUCCACGUCGACCCUCGACAUGAUGGUUGGAAGCAAAUGCCAAGUUCAUACCGAAAGAUUGUUAACAGCAAUACCAACUUGCGGACGACAAGGUAGUACAAAUACCAAUACCAAACUAACUUAUAAUCUUUUUAGUCCUGGCCCUAGUGUUCGCCUGGUAGAAAAUCUUGCAAAGGACCAGCUCCCGCUCCUUCUCUUGCUCCAGGUCCCCGAGGUGGUAUUGGUGCAUCACCCAAUUGGUCCUCUGCUGUUCAAAGUUCCUUUUUUGUGGGAAUGGUCGAAGUUCUUGUUGCUGUGCAGCACCAGAAGUUUUUUGCUACCCGUCUGCCGACCAUUGACCAUCAGCAGCAAGGUAUUGCCGGUCUUGUGCCACAUCGCAUGCAUGCCGCACUCCGACUGUAUCUUGUAACACAUCCACGUGCCCCUUUUGAACGCCCUAGAAUUGCGCUGGAAGAAAUGCUUGCUUAGACCACUCAGUGUGAUACCUGCAGUAUUGUCGAAUACAGGUUUUAGUGUAUGUAGUUGGCAUUCUCAUAACAUCUUUGGCAUGUUGCAGUCACUUGUUUCACUUUUUAUUAACUGUCAAAUUGUAAUUGCUUCACUAGGUCUGCGUAUAAAAAGAAAAAUAGAGCUAUAAACAAAGGAAUAUGUUUGUGCAAGUAGAUGGUCGAUCGGUGUCUUACCUAGGGGUUUCUCAGGAUGGGUGUAGCAUAUGCCGUGCUCGCUGUCGAUGGUUGGUAUGAACAAAUCGAUGAGAGGGUGAGAUCUCGCGCUGUCAGCACUCACUUUGGCCUCAAGGUGCUCGAUCAGCUCCUGAUCCGUGGGAUCGAACUUGACGCCAGCUGGCAGCACCGGCCAAUCCUUCUCGGAGUUGCAUCAGUUAAUUCCAGUUAUAUGGUACUCAAUGUAUGAUCAAUCGACUAUUUUAAGUGAAUGAUGAAAGAUUUCGACAGAUAAGUGGUCGUACUCCAAAUCUGAAGUCCACAAUACCCGAACACGCCGCCGGGAUUCUUGUGUCAUGAUACAUCUCCAACGUAUCUAUAAUUUUUGAUUGCUCCAUGCUAUAUUAUCUACUGUUUUGGACAUUAUUGGGCUUUAUUAUCCACUUUUAUAUUAUUUUUGGGACGAACCUACUAACCGGAGGCCCAGCCCAGAAUUGUUUUUUUGCCUAUUUUAGGGUUUCGAAGAAAAGGAAUAUCAAACGGAUUCCAAACAGGAUGAAACCUUCGGGAACGUGAUUUUCUCACCGAACAUGAUCUAGGGGACAUGGACCCUACGUCAAGAAACAAGGGAGGAUGCCACGAGGUAGGGGCGCGCCUACCCCCCAGGCACGCCCUCCACCCUUGUGGGCCCCCUGUUGCUCCAUUGACGUACUCCUUCCUCCUAUAUAUACCUAUGUACCCCAAACGAUCAGAUACGGAGCAAAAACCCUAAUUCCACCGCCGCAACUGUCUGUAUCCACGAGAUCCCAUCUUGGGGCCUGUUUCGGAGCUCCGCCGGAGGGGGCAUCGAUCACGGAGGGCUUCUACAUCAUCACCAUAGCCCCUCCGAUGAAGUGUGAGUAGUUUACCUUAGACCUACGGGUCCAUAGUUAUUAACUAGAUGGCUUCUUCUCUCUUUUUGGAUCUCAAUACAAUGUUAUCCCCCUCUCUUGUGGAGAACUAUUCGACGUAAUCUUCUUUUUGCGCUGUAUUUGUUGAGACCAAUGAAUUGUGGGUUUAUGAUCAAGUCUAUCUAUGAACAAUAUUUGAAUCUUCUCUGAAUUCUUUUAUGUAUGAUUGGUUAUCUUUGCAAGUCUCUUUGAAUUAUCGGUUUGGUUUGGCCUACUAGAUUGAUCUUUCUUGCAAUCGGAGAAGUGCUUAGCUUUGGGUUCAAUCUUGCGGUGUCCUUUCCCAGUGACAGUAGGGGCAACAAGGCACAUAUUGUAUUGUUGCCAUCGAGGAUAACAAGAUGGGGUUUUCAUCAUAUUGCAUGAGUUUAUCCCUCUACAUCAUGUCAUCUUGCUUAAGGCAUUACUCUAUUUUCAUGAACUUAAUACUCUAGAUGCAUGCUGGAUAGCGGCCGAUGAGUGGAGUAAUAGUAGUAGAUGCAGGCAGGAGUCGGUCUACUUGUCUCGGACGUGAUGCCUAUAUACAUGAUCAUACCUAGAUAUUCUCAUAACUAUGCUCAAUUCUGUCAAUUGCUCAACAGUAAUUCGUUCACCCACCGUAGAAUACUUAUGCUCUUGAGAGAAGCCACUAGUGAAACCUAUGGCCCCUGGGUCUAUCUUCAUCAUAUUAAUCUUCCAAUACUUUGCUAUUUACUUUGCUUUUAUUUUACUUUGCAUCUUUAUCAUAAAAAUAUCAAAAAUAUUAUCUUAUCAUAUCUAUCAGAUCUCACUCUCGUAAGUGGCCGUGUAGGGAUUGACAACCCCUUAUUGCGUUGGUUGCGAGGAUUUAUUUGUUUUGUGCAGGUACGAGGGACUCACGCGUAGCCUCCUACUAGAUUGAUACCUUGGUUCUCAAAACCUGAGGGAAAUACUUAUGCUACUCUGCUUCAUCAUCCCUUCCUCUUCGGGGAAAAACCAACGCAGUGCUCAAGAGGUAGCAUGUCACCUCACACGUAGCGUGUUGUCACGUCAAUUCAAUGUAAGGACAUGAUGAAUAAUUUGACCGAUGUAUACUAGUACUGCUAUGAUAACCCACAAGUAUAGGGGAUCACAACAGUUUUCGAGGGUAGAGUAUUCAACCCAAAUUUAUUGAUUCGACACAAGGGGAGCCAAAGAAUAUUCUCAAGUAUUAGCAGUUGAGUUGUCAAUUCAACCACACCUGAAAGACUUAAUAUCUACAACAAAGUAUUCAGUAGCAAAGUAGUUUGGAAGAAACGAUAACGGUGGCAAAAGUAACAGUAGCAUUUUUUGUAGCAAUCGUAACAGUGGCAACGGAAAAGUAACUAAGCAAAGAUCAAUAUGUGAAAAGCUCAUAGGCAAUGGAUCAAUGAUGGAUAAUUAUGUCGGAUGCGAUUUCUCAUGCAACAGUUAUAACAUAGGGUGACACAGAACUAGCUCCAGUUCAUCAAUGUAAUGUAGGCAUGUAUUCCGAAUAUAGUCAUACGUGCUUAUGGAAAAGAACUUGCAAGACAUCUUUUGUCCUACACUCCCGUGGCAGCGGGGUCCUAUUGGAAACUAAGGGAUAUUAUAGCCUCCUUUUAAAAGAGUACUAGAACAAAGCAUUAACACUUAGUGAAUACAUGAACUCCUCAAACUACGGUCAUCACCGGAAGUGGUCCUGAUUAUUGUCACUUCAGGGUUGCCGGAUCGUAACACAUAGUAGGUGACUAUUGACUUCCAAGAUAGGAUCAAGAACUCACAUAUAUUCAUGAAAACAUAAUAGGUUCAGAUCUGAAAUCAUGGCACUCGAGCCCUAGUGACAAGCAUUAAACAUAGCAAAGUCAUAGCAACAUCAAUCUUAGAACAUAAUGGAUACUAGAGAUCAAACCCUAAUAAAACUAACUCGAUUACAUGGUAAAUCUCAUCCAACCCAUCACCGUCGAGCAAGCCUACAAUGGGAUUACUCACGCACGGCGGAGUGCAUCAUGAAAUUGGUGACGGAGGAAGGUUGAUGAUGACAAUGGCGACGGAUUCCCCUCUCCGGAGCCCCGAACGGACUCCAGAUCAGCCCUCCCGAUGAAGAUUAGGGCUUGGCGGCGGCUCCAUAUCAUAAAACAUGAUGAAUCCUUCUCUUCUAUUUUUUUCUCCCCGAAAGUGAAUAUAUAGAGUUGGAGUUGACGUCGGUGGAGUCUCAAGGGCCCCACGAGGUAGGAGGCGCGCCCUAGGGGGGCGCUCUACACCCUUGUGGACAGGGUGUGGCCCCCCUUGAUGCUGAUUCUUUCGCCAAUAUUUUUUAUUAAUUCCAAAACAUGUCUCCGUGGAUUUUCAGGUCAUUCCGAGAACUUUUAUUUCUGCACAAAAAUAACACCAUGGCAAUUCUGCUGACAACAUCGUUAGUCCGGGUUAGUUCCAUCCAAAUCAUGCAAGUUAGAGUCCAAAACAAGGGCAAAAGUGUUUGGAAAAGUAGAUACGUUGGAGACAUAUCAACUCCCCGAAGCUUAAACCUUUGCUUGUCCUCAAGCAAUUGAGUUGACAAGCUGGAAGUGAUAAAGAAAACUUUUACAAACUCUGUUUGAUCUUGUUGUUGCAAAUAUGUAAAGCCAGCAUUCAAGUUUUCAGCAAAGAUUAUGAACUAGCCAUAACAUUUAGGUUUCAUGUUUACUCAUAUCAAUGGCAUAAUCAGCUAGCGAGCAAUAAUAAUAAAUCUCGGAUGACAACACUUUCUCAAAACAAUCAUAACAUGAUAUAACAAGAUGGUAUCUCGCUAGCCCUUUUUGAGACCGCAAAACAUAAAUGCAGAGCACCCCUGAAGACCAAGGACUGACUAGACAUUGUAAUUCAUGGUAAAAGAGUAAAUUAAUAGCAAUGCAUGCAAAUGACAACGGUGCUCUCCAACUGGUGCUUUUUAAUAAGAGGAUGAUGACUCAACAUAAAAGUAAAUAGAUAGGCCCUUCGUAGAGGGAAGUAGGGAUUUGCGGAGGUGCUAGAACUCGAGUUUCGAAACAGAGAUAAAUAAUAUUUUGAGUGGUAUAUUUUCAUUGUCAACAUAAGAACCAAGAGAUCUCGAUAUCUUCCAUGCUACACGCAUUAUAGGCGGUUCUCAAAUAGAAUGGUAAAUUUUAUACUCCCCCACCACCAACAAACAUCAAUCCAUGGCGUGUCCGAAACAACGGGUGCCGCCAACUAACAACAAUCCUGGGGGAGUUUUGUUUGCAAUUAUUUUGAUUUGAGCAUGGGACUGGGCAUCCUGGUUACCAGCCAUUUUCUCGUGAGUGAUGAGCGGAGUCAACUCAUCGUGAGAAUAACCCACCAACAUGUAAGAUAUAGACAACCCUAGUUGAUGCAUGAGCUAUUCGAGCAUACAAAACAAAAUUUCAUUUGAAGGUUUAGAGUUUGGCACAUACAAAUUUACUUGGAAUGGCAGGUAGAUACCGCUUAUAGGAAGGUAUGGUGGACUCAUGUGGAAGAACUUUGGGGUUUAUGGAAGUGGAUGCACAAGCAGUAUUCCCGCUUAGUACAAGUGAAGAUUAGAAAGAGACUGGGAAGCGACCAACUAGAGAGCGACAAUAGUCAUGAACAUGCAUUAAGACUAAUCAACAAUGAGUACAAGCAUGAUUAAAUAUAAAUCACCAUGAACAUAAAUAUCAUGGAGGCUAUGUUGAUUUUGUUUCAAGUACAUGCAUGAACAUGUGCCAAGUCAGGCCACUCGAAUCGUUCAAAGGAGGAUACCACCCUAUCAUACCACAUUACAACCAUUUUAAUAGCAUGUUGGCACGCAAGGUAAACUACUAUAAACUCCUAGCAAAUUAAGCAUGGGAUGAGCAACUAUAAUCUCUAAUUGUCAUUGCAAACAUGUCUCAUUCAUAAUAGGCUGAAUCAGGAAUGAUGAACUAAUCAUAUUUACAAAAACAAGAUAGGUCAAGUUCAUACCAGCUUCUCUCACCUCAAUCAGUCCAUCAUAUAUCGUCAUUAUUGCCUUUCACUCGCACAACCGAACGGUGUGGAUAAUAAUAAUAGUGCACGUGCAUUGGACUAAGCUGGAAUCUGCAAGCAUUUAAUACAAAGGAGAAGACAAGGUAAUAUGGGCUCGUGGCUAAAUCAACAAUAAUGCAUAUGAGAGCCACUCAACAUUUUCAUCAUGGUCUUCUCCUCUCGACCCCCAAAGAAUAAGAAAGGAAAUAAAACUAUAUACAUGAGAAAUCUUUUUGUGUUUUCUUUUAAUUAUUACUACUACAGGCAUGGAAAGUAAACUAGCUGAAAGCUACAACUAAUUUUUUUGUUUUUCUUAAGAUUUUUCAAACACACAAGAAAAAGGCUUAGAAACUAGCAUGGAUGGUACAAUGAAAAAGUAUGAGCACCGACAACUAGAAUGAGUGUGUGAACAUGAAUGUAAUGUCGGUGAGAAAUACGUACUCCCCCAAGCUUAGUCUUUUGGCCUUAGUUGGUCUAUGGCCACUGAUGGCCUGGUGGAUAUCCAAAGUUGUAGUUGGGGUCGUAUUGAGAUGCGGCAGCUAUUGCCUGAAGAGCUGCAGCUUGGAGGCGAGCUGCCUUCAUCCUCCUCUAGUACUCGUUCACCUCCUCCCUGGUUAUAACAUAUCUCCUUUUUGCCUGAAAGUUAAAGAAAGUAGGAGCAGGGAGGGCAACAUGGACAAUGCGCUGUCUGUUAAAGAAUAGUCGAUACUGGAGGAAUUGUUCGUUCCUCUCAAGAAACAGAUGGCGAACCAUAGCAUUAUAAUCUAGGUGAGCAGGAGGUAGCUCUAUAUCAUUUCCAUGUAUGGGUACAUUAAGAUAAUUAGCUACAUGAGUGGCAUAAAUUCCACCAAACAAAUCUCCACUUAUACCGUUAAGAUGCAACCUUUGUGCCACAAUGGCCCCCAAGUUAUAUUGUUUAUCUCCUAAUACCGCACUUUUGAGGACACAAAGAUCUGGAACGCACAUGUGACAAGCCUCAUCUUUACCAUUAAUGCAUCUACCAAUAAAGAGAGCAAAAUAAUGUAUGGAAGGGAAAUGAAUGCUCCCUAUGGUGGCUUGUGUGAUUUCCCUAGAUUCCCCCACAGUGAUACUAUCAAGAAAGUCUUUAUAUUCAGAUUUGCGAGGUUCACUGACAUUGCCCCACUGCGGGAGUUUACAAGUAGUAUGAAAAUCUUCUAGGUCCAUGGUAUAUGAUUUAUCAUAAAGAUCAAAUAAAACAGUGUGAGAAUUGCACAAGGAUGUAAAUUUAAACCUCCUCAGAAAGGAAUCAGUUAGGUAGUGGUACUGCGGGCACUUAUCUGACACGAAGUCCUCAAGAUCAUCAUUACACAUAUACGCGUCAAAUUCAUCCUUGAAGCCUGCCUGGACCAUAAACUCCUCUGAUGACCAUUCACAAGGCUGCACUUGAGCUUCCCUCGGUGGUUCAUCGUCCGGCUCACGUAUCGUGAGCCUUGGUCCUUGCUUCCUUGAGGAACCACCUUGGUACAUUUUCCUAAACAUUUUCUUUCUAUGAAAAAUUUCUGAAAUUUUAAUGACUCAAAAUAAAAGUGAACCAAACUCAACAAGAUUGAUAGCAACUACUCCCACAAGUGCCUAGAGGCUAUAUCAUGCAUUAAAACCACUUUGGACCAUAUAAAUUUGACAUGUAAGCUCAAGAACAGGGUCACCUUAGCAGCAAAAAUUUGCAAUAAAUAAAGCACUAGAACAAAAAACUAAUUGGACCAUUAGAGGAGUCACAUACGGAAGAACAAUCUGCCCAAACAGUUUUGUGAAUGGAGGUUUGAGCAAGGAGAUCGAAAAUGGCAGCAAGAUGAGCUAGAACACGGGUUUGAGCUACGGGAUGAUUUUUUCUAGAGGAAGACGAAGUGAGUGGGUGCUGGAAUAAGUGGAGGGGGUCCACGUGGGGUCCACGAGGUAGGGGGGUGCGCCCCAGGGGGGCACCCUACACCCUCGUGGCCAAAUGGUGGGACCCCCUGGUGUUCUCAGUGCCAGUAAUUCUUAAAUAUUCUACAAAAAAUCAUAUUUCAUUUUUAGGACAUUUGGAGAACUUUAUUUUUGGGGUAUUUUUAUUGCAAGGAUAAUUCAAAAAACAGACAAAUAUUAUUAUUUUUUAUUUAUUUAAUCUAAAUUACAGAAAGUAAAAGGAGGGUACAGAGAGUUGUGCUUUCUAAAUUCAUCCAUCUCAUGCUCAUCAAAAGGAAUCCACUAACAAGGUUGAUCAAGUCUUGUUAACAAACUCUUUCCGAAUAACAUGAAACCGGAAAAUUUUCAAAUAACACUAGGUUACCUCAACGGGGAUAUGCAUGUCCCCAACAAUAAGAAUAUCAUAUUUCUUCUUGAUAGUAGGGAGAGGGAAUUCAAAACCUCCAAUAGUUUGUUGAAAUUUUUCCAAUAGAAUUAAUACUAUGGACUUGAGGUUGUUUCCUUGGAAAGUGUACCGUAUGCUCAUUACCAUUAACAUGAAAAGUGACAUUGCCUUUGUUGCAAUCAAUAACAGCCCCUGUAGUAUUCAAAAAGGGUCUACCAAGGAUAAUAGACAUACUAUCGUCCUCAGGAAUAUCAAGAAUAACAAAGUCCGUUAAAAUAGUAACGUUUGCAACCACAACAGGCACAUCCUCAAAAAUACCGACAGGUAUAACAGUUGAUUAAUCGGCCAUUUGCAAAGAUAUUUCAGUAGGUGUCAACUUAUUCAAAUCAAGUCUACGAUAUAAAAAGAGAGGCAUAACACUAACACCGGCUCCAAGAUCACAUAGAGCAGUUUUAACAUAGUUUCUUUUAAUGGAGCAUGGUAUAGUUGGUACUCCUAGAUCUCCUAGUUUCUUAGGUAUUCCACCUUUAAAAGUAUAAUUGGCAAGCAUGGUGGAAAUUUCAGCUUCCAGUAUCUUUCUUUUAUUUGUAACAUUAUCUUUCAUAUACUUAGCAUAAGGAUUCAUUUUAAGCAUAUCAGUCAAACGCAUACGCAAAAAGAUAGGUCUAAUCAUUUUAGCAAAGCGCUCAAAAUCCUCAUCAUCCUUUUUCUUGGAUGGUUUAGGAGGAAAAGGCAUGGGUUUCUCAACCCAUGCUUCUCUUUCUUUACCAUGCUUCGUUGCAACAAAGUCUCUCUUAUCAUAACGUUGAUCCUUUGAUUGUGGGCUAUCCAGAUCAACAACAGGUUCAAUCUCUACAUCAUUGUUAUUGCUAGGUUGAGCAUCCACAUGAACAUCAUCAUUAACAUUAUCAAUAGGUUCAUGUCCAUUACAAGAUUGUGUUUCAGCAUCAGAAAUAGAAAUAUCAUUAGGAUUCUCAGGUGUGUCAACAACAGGUUCACUAGGAGCAUGCAAAGUCCUAUCAUUUUUGUUUUCUUCUUCUUAGAAGAAAUAGGUGCAUCAAGAUUAGUUCUCUGAGAAUCUUGCUCAACUCUCUUAGGGUGGCCCUCAGGAUACAGAGGUUCCUGAGUCAUUUUACCCCCUCUAGUCACAACUCUAACAACAUUAUCAUUUUUCUUAUUAUUCAAUUCAUUGAGCAAAUCAUCUUGUGCUUUAAGCACUUGUUCUACUUGAGUGGUAACCAUAGAAGCAUGUUUACUAAUAAGUUUAAGGUCACCUUUAACUCUAGACAUAUAAUCACUCAAGUGUUCAACCAUGUAAGCAUUACGUUUCAAUAAUCUACUGACAUAAGCAUUGAAGUUUUCUUGUUUAACAAUAAAAUUAUCAAACUCAUCCAAGCAUUGGCUAGCAGACUUAUUACGAGGAAUAUCACCUUCAUCAAAUCUAUAGAGAGAAUUUACCUUUACUACCUGUGUCGGGUUAUUAAGACCAUGUAUUUCUUCACUAGGUGGUAAAUUCUUAACAUCUUCAGAUUUAAUACCCUUUUCUUUCAUAGAUUUCUUGUCUCUUGCAUAUCUUCAGGACUGAGAAAUAGAAUACCCCUUUUCUUCGGAGUUGGCUAAGGAGUUGGUUCAGAAAGUGUCCAAUCAUUAUCAUUACUCAAUAUAUUAUUCAAUAGCAAUUCAGCUUGCUCAACAGUUCUUUCCCCAAAAACACAACCAGCACAACUAUCCAGGUGGUCUCUGGAAGCAUCGUUUAGUCCAUUAUAAAAGAUAUCAAGUAUUUCAUUUUUCUUGAGAGGAUGAUCAGGCAAAGCAUUAAGUAAUCGGAGAAGCCUCCCCCAAGCUUGUAGGAGACUCUCUUCUUCAAUUUGCACAAAAUUAUAUAUUCCCCUUAAGGCAACUUGUUUCUUAUGAGCGGGGAAAUAUUUAGCAAAGAAGUAAUAAAUCAUAUUCUGGGGACUACGCACACAACCAGGAGCGAGAGAAUUAAACCAUGUUUUAGCAUCACCCUUUAAUGAGAACGGAAAUAACUUAAGGAUAUAGUAGUAACGAAUUUUUUCCUCAUGAGUGAAUAGGGUGGCUAUAUCAUUCAAUUUAGUAAGAUGUGCCACAACAGUUUCGGAUUCAUAGCCAUAAAAAGGAUCAGAUUCAACCAAAGUAAUUAACUCAGGGUCGACAGAGAAAUCAUAAUCCUUAUCAGGAAUACAUAUAGGUGAAGUAGCAAAAGUAGGGUGAUAUUUCAUUCUAGCAUUCAAAGACUUUUCUUUUACCUUAGCUAACAGUUUCUUAAGAUCAUAUCUAUCUUUGCAAGCAAAAAGGUCUCUAGCAAUUUCUUCAUCCAUAACAUAACCCUCAGGCACAUCAGGCAAUUCAUAUCUAGGGGGAGAAUCUUCAUCAUCACUUUCAUCAAUAUUAUCUGUUUCAAUAAUUUCAUUCUCUCUAACCCUAGCAAGUUGUUCAUCAAGAAAUUCACCUAAUGGCACAAUAUUCUCAAGCAUAGAAGUAGUUUCAUCAUAAGCAUCAUGCAUAGCCGAAGUGGCAUCAUCAAUAACAUGUGACAUAUCAGAAUCAAUAGCAGGAGUAGGUGUCGCAAGUUUACUCAAAAUAUAAGGAGAAUCAAGUGCAGAGCUAGAUGGCAGUUCCUUACCUCCCCUCGUAGUUGAGGGAAAAAUCUUGGUUCUUUCAUCUUUCAAGUUCCUCAUAGCGAUAAAUAGAUAUAAAUCCCAAGUAACUCAAAGAAUAGAGCUAUGCUCCCCGGCAACGGCGCUAGAAAAUGGUCUUGAUAACCCACAAGUAUAUGGGAUCGCAACAGUUUUUGAGGCUAGAGUAUUCAACCCAAAUUUAUUGAUUCGACACAAGGGGAGCCAAAGAAUUAAUAUUCUCAAGUAUUAGCAGUUGAGUUGUCAAUUAAACCACGCUUGAAAGACUUAAUAUCUGCAGCAAAGUAUUUAGUAGCAAAGUAGUAUGGAAGUAACGACAACAGUGGCAAAAGUAAUAGUAGCAGUUUUUGUAGCAAUCGUAACAGUGGCAAUGGAAAAGUAACAAAGCAAAGAUUAAUAUGUGAAAUGCUCAUAGGCAAUGGAUCAAUGAUGGAUAAUUAUGUUGGAUGUGAUUCCUCAUGCAACAGUUAUAACAUGGGGUGACACAGAAAUAGCUCCAGUUCAUCAAUGUAAUGUAGGCAUGUAUUCCGAAUAUAGUCAUACGUGCUUAUGGAAAAGAACUUGCAUGUGAAGGCAAUAUGCCCUAGAGGCAAUAAUAAAGUUGUUAUUUAUAUUUCCUUAUAUCAUGAUAAAUGUUUAUUAUUCAUGCUAGAAUUAUUCUAACCAUAAACAUAGUACAUAUGUGAAUACAUAGACAAACAGAGUGUCACUAGUAUGCCUCUACUUGACUAGCUCGUUGAUCAAAGAUGGUUAAGUUUACUAACCAUGGACAAAGAGUUGUCAUUUGAUAAACGAGAUCACAUCAUUAGAGAAUGAUGUGAUUGACUUGACCCAUCCGUUAGCUUAGCACGAUGAUCGUUUAGUUUACUGCUAUUGCUUUCUCCAUAACUUAUACAUGUUCCUAUGACUAUGAGAUUAUGCAACUCCCGAAUACCGGAGGAACACUUAGUGUGCUGAUAACCCACAAGUAUAGGGGAUCGCAACAGUUUUCGAGGGUAGAGUAUUCAACCCAAAUUUAUUGAUUCGACACAAAGGGAGCCAAAGAAUAUUCUCAAGUAUUAACAGUUGAGUUGUCAAUUCAACCGCACCUGAAAGACUUAGUAUCUGCAGCAAAGUAUUUAGUAGCAAAGUAGUUUGGAAGAAACGGUAACGGUGGCAAAAGUAACAAUAUUGGUUUUGUAGUGAUUGUGAAGGAAAAGUAAAUAAGCAAAGAACAAUAUGUGAAAAGCUCAUAGGCAAUGGAUCAGUGACGGAUAAUUAUGUUGGAUGUGAUUCCUCAUGCAACAGUUAUAACAUAGGGUGACACAGAACUAGCUCCAGUUCAUCAAUGUAAUGUAGGCAUGUAUUCUGAAUAUAGUCAUACGUGCUUAUGGUAAAGAACUCACAUGACUUCUUUUGUCCUACCCUCCCUUGGUAGCGGGGUCCUAUUGGAAACUAAGGGAUAUUAAGGCCUCCUUUUAAUAGAGUACCGGACCAAAGCAUUAGCACUUAGUGAAUACAUGAACUCCUCAAACUAUAGUCAUCACCAGUAAUUGUCCCGGUUAUUGUCACUUCGGGGUUAACGGAUCAUAACACAUAGUAGGUGACUAUUGACUUGCAAAAUAGGAUCAAGAACUCACAUAUAUUGAUGAAAACAUAAUAGGUUCAGAUCUGAAAUCAUGGCACUCGGGCCCUAGUGACAAGCAUUAAGCAUAGCAAAGUCAUAUCAACAUCAAUCUCAGAACAUAAUGGAUACUAGGGAUCAAACCCUAACAAAACUAACUAGAUUACAUGAUAAUUCUCAUCCAACCCAUCACCGUCCAGCAAGCCUACGAUGGAAUUACUCACGCACAUCGGUGAACAUCAUGAAAUUGGUGAUGGAGGAAGGUUGACGAUGACGAUGGCGACGGAUUCCCCUCUUAGGAGCCCUGAACGGACUCCAGAUCAGCCCUCCCGGGAGAGAUUAGGGCUUGGCAGCGGCUCCGUAUCAUAAAACGCGAUGAAUCCUUCUCCCUGAUUUUUUGUCCCAGAACAUGAAUAUAUAGGGUUGGAGUUGAGGUCGGUGGAGCAUCAGGGGUCCCACGAGACAGGGGGGCGCGCCCCCACCCUCGUGGACAGGGUGUGGGCCCCCUGACGUUGAUUCUUUCGCCAGUAUUUUUUAUAUAUUCCAAAAAUAUUCUCCAUGAAGUUUCAGGUCAUUCCGAGAACUUUUAUUUCUGCACAAAAAUAACACCAUGGCAAUUCUGCUGAAAAUAGCGUUAGUCCGGGUUAGUUCCAUUCAAAUCAUGCAAGUUAGAGUCCAAAACAAGGUCAAAAGUGUUUGGAAAAGUAGAUACGAUGGAGACUUAUCAACUCACUCAAGCUUAAACCUUCCCUUGUCCUCAUGCAAUUCAGUUGACAAACUGAAAGUGAUAAAGAAAAACUUUUACAAACUCUGUUUGAUCUUGAUGUUGUAAAUAUGUAAAGCCAGCAUUCAAGUUUUCAGCAAAGAUUAUGAACUAACCAUAUUCACAAUAACAUUUAGGUCUCAUGUUUACUCAUAUCAAUGGCAUAAUCAACUAGCGAACAAUAAUAGUAAAUCUUGGAUGACAACACUUUCUCAAAACAAUCAUAAUAUGAUAUAACAAGAUGGUAUCUCGCUAGCCCUUUCUGAGACCACAAAACAUAAAUGCAGAGAACCUCUGAAGAUCAAGGACUGACUAAACAUUGUAAUUCAUGGUAAAAGAGAUCCAUUCACAGUCAUACUCAAUGUAAACUAAUAGUAAUGCAUGGAAAUGACAGUGGUGCUCUCCAACUGACGCUUUUGAAUAAGAGGGUGAUGACUCAACAUGAAAGUAAAUAGAUAGGCCCUUCUCAGAGGGAAGCAAGGAUUUGUAGAGGUGCCAGAGCUCAAUUUUGAAAUAGAGAUGAAUAAUAUUUUGAGUGGUAUACUUUCAUUGUCAACAUAACAACCGAGAGAUCUCGAUAUCUUGCAUGCUACACACAUUAUAGGCGGUUCCCAAACAGAAUGGUAAAGUCUAUACUCCCCCUACCACCAACAAACAUCAAUCCAUGGCUUGUUCGAAACAAUGGGUGCCUCCAACUAAAAACAAUCCUGGGGGAGUUUUGUUUGCAAUUAUUUUAAUUUAAGCAUAGGACCGGGCAUCCCGGUUACCAUCCAUUUUCUCGUGAAUGAGGAGCGCAGUCCACUCCUCUUGAGAAUAACCCACCUAGCAUGGAAGAUAUAGACAGCCCUAGUUGAUACAUGAGCUAUUCGAGCAUACAAAACAUAAUUUCAUUUGAAGGUUUAGAGUUUGACACAUACAAAUUUACUUGGAACGGCGGGUAGAUACCGCAUAUAGGAUGGUAUGGUGGACUCAUAUGGAAUAACUUUUGGGGUUUAUGGAAGUGGAUGCACAAGAAGUAUUCCUGUUUAGUACAAGUGAAGGCUAGAAAGAGACUGGGAAGCGACCAGCUAGAGAGCGACAACAGUCAUGAACAUACACUAAAAUUAAUCAACACUGAGUGCAAGCAUGAGUAGGAUAUAAUUCACCAUGAAAAUAAAUAUCGUGGAGGCUAUGUUGAUUUUGUUUCAACUGCAUGCGUGAACAUGUGCCAAGUCAAGCCACUCGAAUCGUUCAAAGGAGGAUACCACCCUAUCACACCACAUCACAACCAUUUUAAUAGCAUGUUGGCACGCAAGGUAAACCAUUAUAAACUCCUAGCGAAUUAAGCAUGGCAUGAGAAACUAUAAUCUCUAAUUGUCAUUGCAAACAUGUUUAAUUCAUAAUAGGCUGAAUCAGGAAUGAUGAACUAAUCAUAUUUACGAAAACAAGAUAGGUUUAGUUCAUACCAGCUUUUCUCAUCUCAAUCAGUUCAUCAUAUAUCGUCAUUAUUGCCUUUCACUUGCACAACCAAACGGUGUGGAUAAAAAUAAUAGUGCACGUGCAUUGGACUAAGCUGGAAUCUGCAAGCAUUCAAUACAAGGGAGAAGACAAGGUAAUAUGGGCUCUUUGUUAUAUCAACAAUAAUGCAUAUGAGAGCCACUCAACAUUUUCAUCAUGGUUUUCUCCUCUCGACCCCAAAGAAAAGAAACAAAACUAUUUACACGGGAAAGCUCCCAACAAGAAAAACAAGAACGAGAAAUCUUUUUGGGUUUUCUUUUAGUUAUUACUACUAUAGGCAUGGAAAGUAAACUAGCUAAAAGCUACAACUAUUUUGUGGUCUUUCUUAAGGUUUUUCAAACACAUAAGAAGAAGGCUUAAAAAGAAAUUAAACUAGCAUGGAUAGUACAAUGAAAAAGUUUGAGCACCGACAAGUGGCAUGAGUGUGUGAACAUGAAUGUAAUGUCGGUGAGGAAUACGUACUAGCCAAGCUUUGUCUUUUGGCCUAAGUUGGUCUAUGGCCACGACUCAAAGCUGCCCUCUCCGGUGUACGGAGGAGUGUCCUCUGGGUGCCACUGGUUGGCAAUCUCCUCCGGGUCCCACUAAUAAACAGAGUGACGGUAAGGAUCAAAUGGUGGCUCCGGCUCAGGCUCUGGAGCUGGUGUCAGGCUUCGGUAUGCAUGAACGGCCUCCGGCAACACGAGCUACAUGCCUAAAAAUAUGUUAAACAAAGAGGGAGUAGGCAAGGUAAUAAUCUCAUAGUAGUUUUUAUCAAAGAUCAAUCUAUACUUAAGCAUCUUCUUCUUAUCCUUAACAAUAAAAUCAUAUGCUACCAUACUCUUAUAAUCUAGAAAAAUAGGGGGCAUCAACUUUUCCUCUUUCUCAUAAUGCCUAAUAGGUAUGUUAAAGUGUGCAGCAAGGCGCGAAGCAGAUGCCUCCGAAGACGGGACCCUUUUUUCGGUUCAGAUUUAAUCGUUUAGCAAUAAUAGCGCCUAGACUAAAAGUUGUAUCACGAAACAAAGCAUGGCGCAAAAUAACAAUAUUAGGGGCACUUAGGUUUCCACUGUUCCCGCGACCAAUUAAGCAUCUACUAGCAAAUAUUGCAAAGUAACGUAGAACAGGAAAAUGUAUGCUAGUAAUUCUUGCAUCGGAAACUUUCCUUAUUUCCCCUACAACAAUAUAUCAAUAAAUCCCUCCACAUCAUUAUGAUGUGGUUCCUCUAUGCUGCCCGCAAAGCGUAUCUUACAGACCCGACAAAACUCAUAUAGUGACAUAUUCUUAACCUCAUCAUAUAAGUGAAAUUCCACUGAAGGUGGUGAUUUCUUAGCAUGAAAGAAAAAAUUUUGCACGAAAAUAUUAGUGAGGAGGAGAUAUUGUUCACGCUGGUCGCGGAGGAAGUCGACGAGGCCUGCAUUCUCAGCCAAAUAAUAAAGGGACAUUUACAUCUAUGCCCUUAACUCGAACCCACUACUCAGUUUUGCCCCUAAUUUUUAGGUAUGCUCAGUUUUGCCCCUCCGCCGUUAGUGUCACUUAUAGAAAUACCCUUUUGCGACGUUACCAUCUGGUCAAAGAACUUUGACUACCCAGAAAAAAAUAGCAAAAAAAAUCAAAAAAAUCUGAAUUUUUGUGGGAUCGAAGAUAGUCAUGUCCGCAAGGCGCGUGCAAAUUUGUGUGCUGUUCGGACACCCUGAGAGCUCGUGGCAAAGAAAAUCAUAAAUUUUGUACGCAUGUGAACAGUAAAUUCGAAAAAAUAGAAAAAAAAUUCAAAAAAUAUGAAAUUUUGGGGAACUAAAAAUACUUAGGUGCACAAGAUGUGUGCACAUUUUAGUUGUGUUUGGACAUCGUAUGAGCCCGUACGAGCUCGUAGGAGCUAAACUUUAUUUUUUUCUCCGCGAGCUCCUACGAUGUCCAAACACAACAAAAAUGUGCACACAUCUUGUGCACCUAAGUAUCUUUAGUUCCCCAAAAUUUCAUAUUUUUUUGAAUUUUUUUUCUAUUUUUUCGAAUUUACUAUUCACAUGCGUACAAAAUUUAUGAUUUCCUUUGCCACGAGCUCUCAGGGUGUCCGAACGGCACACAAAUUUGCACGCACCUUGCGGACAUGACUAUCUUCGAUCCCACAAAAUUUCAGACUUUUUUGAUUUUUUUGCUAUUUUUUUCUGGGUGGUCAAAGUCCUUUGACCAGACGGUAACGGCGUAAAAGGGCAUUUCUAUAAGUGACACUAACGACGGAGGGGCAAAACUGAGCAUACCUAAAAAUUAGGGGCAAAACUGAGUAGUGGGUUCGAGUUAGGGGCAGAACUGGAAUUGGCCCAAUAAUAAAAGUCCUCAUAUAUACCAGCUGCUCUCAAGAACUCAUCACAAGGCCAUUCGCAUGGCCGAACGUCCGCAGUGCAAUGGAGAUUAUAUUUGGGCUUCUUAUUCUCUUCACUUUGCUUAUCCUUCGAGCUUCGGCUCGAAGAGCCCCUCAACAAUCUCUUCAUCAUUUUCUUACUCUGAAAAAUUUCUGAAAUUUUUAGUGACUCAAAAUAAAAGUGAACCAAACUCAACAAGAUUGAUAGCAACUACUCCCACAAGUGCCUGGAGGCUAUAUCAUGCAUUAAAACUACUUUUGACCAUAUAAACUUGACAUGCAAGCUUAAGAACAGGGUCACCUAAGCAGCAAAAAUUUGCAAUAAAUAAAGCACUAGAACAAAAACUAAUUGGACCAUUGGAGCAGUCACAUACCGAAGAACAAUCCCCCAAAGCAGUUUUGUGAAUGGAGCUUUGAGCAAGGAGAUCGAAAAUGGCAGCAAGAUGAGCUAGAACUUGGGUGUGAGCCGGUGGAGGAUUUUUUUGGAGGAAGACGGAGUGUGUGGCAAGAAUAAGUGGACGGGGCCCACGUGGGGUCCACGAGGCAGGGGGGCGCACCCUGGACCCUUGUGGCCAGGUGAUGAGGCCCCUAGGUGUGUUCUCAGUGCCAAUAAUUCUUAAAUGUUCUACAAAAAAUCAUAUUUCAUUUUCAGGACAUUAGGAGAACUUUUAUUUUUGGGGUCUUUUUUAUUGCAAGAAUAAUUUAGAAAACAGACAGAAAAUAAUAUUUUUGCUUUAUUUAAUCUAAAUAACAGAAAGUAAAAGGAGGGUACAGAGAGUUGUGCUUUCUAACUUCAUCCAUUUCAUGCUCAUCAAAAGGAAUCCAGUAACAAGGUUGAUCAAGUAUUGUUAACAAACUGUUUUCGAAUAACAUGAAAAUGGAGAAUUUUCGAAUAACACUAAGUUACCUCAACGGGGAUAUGCACAUCCCCAACAAUAAGAAUAUCAUAUUUCUUCUUGACAGUAGGAAGAGGAAAUUCAAAACCUCCAAUAAUAAUCGUUGAAGUUUUUCCAAUAGAAUUAAUACAGUGGACUUGAGGUUGUUUCCUCGAAAAGUGUACCGUAUGCUCAUUACCAUUAACAUGAAAAGUGACAUUGCCUUUGUUGCAAUCAAUAAUAGCCCCUGCAGUAUUCAAAAAGGGUCUACCAAGAAUAAUAGACAUACUAUCGUCCUCGGGAAUAUCAAGAAUAACAAAGUUUGUUAAAAUAGUAACGUUUGCAACCACAACAAGCACAUCCUCACAAAUACCGACAGGUAUAGCAGUUGAUUUAUCAGCCAUUUGCAAAGAUAUUUCAGUAGGUGUCAACUUAUUCAAAGCAAGUCUACGAUAUAAAGAGAGAGGCAUAACACUAACACCGGCUCCAAGAUCACAUAAAGCAGUUUUAACAUAGUUUCUUUUAAUGGAGCAUGGUACAGUUGGUACUCUGGGAUCUCCUAAUUUCUUUGGUAUUCCACCCUUAAGAGUAUAAUUAGCAAGCACGGUGGAAAUUUCAGCUUCCGGUAUCUUUCUUUUAUUUGUGACAAUAUCUUUCAUAUACUUAGCAUAAGGAUUCAUUUUCAGCAUAUCAGUCAAACGCAUAAGCAAAAAGAUAGGUCUAAUCAUUUCAGCAAAGCGCUCAAAAUCCUCACCAUCCUUUUUCUUGGAUGGUUUAGGAGGAAAAGGCAUGGGUUUCUGAACCCAUGGUUCUUUUUCUUUACCGUGCUUCCUAGCAACAAAGUCUCUCUUAUCAUAACGUUGAUUCUUUGAUUGUGAGUUAUCAAGAUCAACAACAGGUUCAAUCUCUACAUCAUUGUUAUUGCUAGGUUGAGCAUCAACAUGAACAUCAUUGUCAGUGUCAAAACCGAUGGAUCUCGGGUAGGGGGUCCCGAACUGUGCGUCUAGGCCGGAUGGUAACAGGAGGCAAGGGACACGAAGUUUUACCCAGGUUCGGGCCCUCUUGAUGGAGGUAAAACCCUACGUCCUGCUUGAUUAAUAUUGAUGAUAUGGGUAGUACAAGAGUAGAUUUACCACGAGAUCGGAGAGGCUAAACCCUAGAAGCUAGCCUAUGGUAUGAUUGUUAUUCUGUAUGUUGUCCUACGGACUAAAACCCUCCGGUUUAUAUAGACACCGGAGAGGGUUAGGGUUACACAAAGUCGGUUACAAUGGUAGGAGAUCUACAUAUCCGUAUCGCCAAGCUUGCCUUCCACGCCAAGGAAAGUCCCUUCCGGACACGGGACGAAGUCUUCAAUCUUGUAUCUUCAUAGUCUAGGAGUCCGGCCGAAGGUAUAGUCCGGCCAUCCGGACACCCCUAAUCCAAGACUCCCUCAGUAGCCCCUGAACCAGGCUUCAAUGACGACAAGUCCGGCGCACAGAUUGUCUUUGGCAUUGCAAGGCGGGUUCCUCUUCCAAGUACUUCAUAGAAGAUUUUGAACACAAAGAUAGUGUCCGUCUCUGCAAAAUAAGUUUCCACAUAUGGCCAUAGAGAGAAUAAUAUUUACACAAAUCUAAUAUGCUGACGUAUUCCGUAGUGCGACAUCGCACCACGGCCAAGCCUUUAUUCGAAUCGUUUUAUUAUCUCACCUCAGCGCGUCAUGUGAGGCGGUUUCCUUGGCACGUCUUGUUAAAGCAGAGAUCGUGUCCCCUUAUCCCGGUAUUCUCAUCAAUACGGGCGUGGGUAACCCAACCGCUUCUAGGACUCCUAGACUAUAGGCAAGUCCAAACGGCCACGGAGAGGACGCUUGAUAUUCUCCCUCUUUAUAAAGGGACAAGGCUUUUAUUUUUUCCCUCCCGUGCUCAAUCGAAUCCUUCCCCCACCUCAAGCUCAAACACCCAAAGUUCAGGUCAGGUGCUUCGAACCUUCAAUCAUGUCCAGAUCUAGCCUUCAAGGCCGAUGGGUGCCUUCCUCCGUCACGGAAGAAGACAUCAAAAAGUUGAGGGAGGCCAGAUAUCUGACCGCCGAGGUUGUGCAUCGGCUGCCUACCCGAGGGAAGGCCGUCCCCUCCCCCAAACCCUAUGAGAGCGUCGUGUUCGUCUCCCACUUCCUCCGAGGUCUAGGCCUUGCUCUGGAUCCUUUCGUCAGGGGUUUGAUGUUUUAUUACGGGCUAGACUUCCAUGAUCUAGCUCCGGACUCCUUUCUUCAUAUCACGACAUUUAUUGUCGUGUGUGAGGCCUUCCUCCGGGUUACCCCUCACUUUGGCUUGUGGCUCAAGACCUUUGAAGUAAAGCCGAAGAUGAUCGAGGGGCAACAUGCAGCGUGUGGAGGUGCCUCAAUAUGCAAGAUGACGGGAGCUCCAUGGCCCAAAGGUUCCAUUCCAGAGGUGUCCGAAUUGUGGCAACAGGAGUGGUUCUACAUCACGGCUCCUAGAAGUGCCAAGUGGGCGGCCGCCCCUAUUUUCCGCUCGGGCCCUCCAACACAACUGAUGUCAUGGAUCAGCAGAGGUCUGAGCUGGGGUCCAGCCAAGGAUGUGCCUAUACUGCAAAGCCGCAUUCGAGAUCUCUUCAAUGGAGAUUUUAGUUUGGUUGCUGUAAUACAAGUUAUGUUGGUUCAUCAAGUCCAGCCUUGCAAACGCCGGCCCCUUCGCUUGUGGGAGUUCAAUCCCGAGGGACCGCGUGUCAUCCAAAAUUUCCUUGGCCCGACGCACGAGGAGAUGUACAAGUCAUUCUUCGGACCUCAGGUAGAGUGUCCGGAAAUCACCAAGGACGCGGGCCUGAGCAGUAACCGCGCCGCCGAACAGGUAAGGAAUCUUCCGGCCGAACAUAGUAUCUCUCAUUUGUUAUGAAGUUAUUUCCGAGAGUUCACUUUUUGACCAGGACUGGCUAACAAAGGCGAAGUUGAUUCGGUGUUCGGCCCCCCUCCCUGAGGGUUUGGACAAUCCGGUAUUGGAAAAGAUGCUCCAGGUCGCACCUUGCCCGGAGCCCUUGAAGGAAGAUACUGGGAAGGAUAAUACGGGCGGACGCGGGCCCCCAAUGCUGCCCAUUCUAACCGAGGGAGCGAGCGUCUCCAUGAAGGAAGAUGACCGGAGGAGGAAAAGGACUGCGCCCGGGUAUUCGGACGCCGAAGCUUCCAAAUGGGAGAAGAAGUCUCCCAUAGAGGGUCCUACCUUGGGGGGUGCUUUUGCCGCACAAAGUCCGUGGGGGGAUCAAUUCUCCAGCGAGUCGUAAGUGACCCGAAUUACUUUAAUAGUACAGGUAUGCCAUCUUUUUCUUCUGAGAAAAUAACCACCGCAUAUAUCUUUGCAGUUCGGGCCUUAGCCCCUCUCAAAUGAGCUCGUCUUCGGGGGAUCUUCUUCCAGAGAUGAUGGAGAGCGAAACGCCCCCUCCGGACUCCUCCGCUCCGGAAGCGGGCGACUCCGAAGUGUCGUCGCGGAGGGCCUCUUCGGGUCCAGUGAGGCCAGAAGAUAAUCCCAUUGACCCCCGAAGCUCCCAGUGUCCGGCUCCCGAAGAGAGCGGAAAAAAGAGUCCGGCACCGUCUGGUGUGUGAUCGGAUGUUCUGAGGGAGUUGGUGGGGCGAGCGGCCAUCUCAGAUGAACACCGUGUGCUGAUGAAUAUGGUGAUGGAGAGAAUCUCGUCCGCCGAAAGCGGAUUGCAUGAAGCUUUUAUGAGUCUACUGACAGGCUUUGAGGUACGUAAAAUAAUGUAUGAUAGUCCUGCACAUGCUAGGUGUGCCCUGUGUAGAUAGUAGCCCCUGAGACUCUGGUUGUCUUCAGAAACACGACGAAGAGAGGAUCAUAUUCCCAGGUAAUAGCCAUACUGCCUCUAUGUGCAGGUGAUGGAAGCUCCGGUGGCUAGCCGGACUACCGUGUUUGCCCAUUUAAAACGGCAGUUGGAUGCGGCAGACGCCGACAUCGAGCUUGUUAACAAAAGGCUUGACGAGGCACAGGGUAAGUGUCAUUAUCUGGUAAACGCCACAUAGUAAGAGCAGCAUGAUGCCAGUAUCUUUAAUAUGUUGUGACUGCAGAUGGAGCUGCCACUGUUGAAGCCUUGCGAGCAGAACUUGCCCGAGCCAAGGAACAAGCAAGGUUUAGUAAUGCGGCUGCUUUGAAGGCGGCCGAAGAGUUGAAAACCGAGAAGGCCGCGCAUGGCGAGAGCCGAGAUAAGAUGGCCAAGAUGGCCAUAGAAUUAAAAGCCGCCGCUGACCGUUGCCGGGUUCUUGAAAAGGAAAACCUAGCGAAGGCAUCGGACCUUGAGAAGGCUGCUGCGACGAGAAAAGACAUCCGCUCUGCUAUGAGGGCGAAGAAGGAGGAGCUGCGGGAAGCCAGGGAUAUUGUAGCUGGGAAAUCCUUUAUGUUGCGGAGGAAGUUUGGAGAUCCACAGUAUGCCUCUCUGGAUCAGCUGUGGAGUUCGGAGGAUGUGUAUAUGGAUUUGGCGGCGAGCGCUGCCGAUGCGGCCAAGUACUUCCAGGGUCAGACGGACCGUGAAGUGGACCAGCUGUUUUGGACACAAUUCCAUUCUCCCGAGCGUCCGCUUUCAUUGACUGACCAAUUAGCCGAAUGGGCCGAACUGAAUAGGUUGUCCGGACUCGCCAUGAGGUCUGUUGUGGAUCAGCUAUGGCCGGAAAGGCCAAAACCGAACAACUAUUUUAGCUUGGUGCCGCAGCUCCUUGACAUGGUGCCGCGCAUUAAUGCGAUGAAGAGGUCGGCGUGCAUAGAGGGCUCACGGAUGGCCUUUGCCCGUGUUAAAGCAUACUGGGCGGAGAUGGAUGCUACCAUUGUUGCAGCGCGGGAUUCGGCCAUAGGUCGAAUGGCUGCUGAGCACUACUUUGAAGAAGUUCUUGAGGGUGCUCGUUUGAUAAAUAUUAUGUUUGAGUGAUAUGUAAUCUCAUUGUAAGCGAAAUGCUUUUAUAAAUUUUUAUAAGGCUAUUUUUAUACUUUUGCCUGAAAGUAAUAUGAUGCCUCCUGGGUGGCCGUUUAUGUAUACAUGUGUAUAACCUGAAAGAUUGCAGCCGUCGGCUUCAACCCCCACGCAUAUAAUGCGGAGGUGCUCGCAAAAAACAUGCGUUCACACUUAACCCAACGUCUUGGUCCUAUUAAGGAGGUGAUAGCGGAGCGAGCGAGGCAACCGGACUAUAAUGCUUUAACACUUUCACUUAGCCAUAGGAGUUUGACAGUGGGGCUACUAGAUAGCCCCUGGUGGCUUCGCACUCUCCCGAUCCCGGGGUGCGUACAUGCCUGGCCGGAAAACGGCCCUUCGUUAAGGCGGAGGAAUUCUAACAUUCCAACAGGUCAUCGAGUGGUUGACCAGUCUCACGCUAUAUCAUGACAGUCAGUUUUCGGCUUUCUCUACUGAGGUGCUCGUCCGGAUGAACCAGGGCACAAUCGCAGUAGUUCUCCUGGUGCUACCUUAGUCGGUAAAGUGGAACGUAAGGCACCAAAACACAGGAGCCGGGCAAACCCAACAUUUGACCAAAGACAAUGAUUCGGAGCUGAUGCAUAUAAGGCCAAACUUGCGACGCCGAACACUCCCUAAGGUAUUCGGUCUUUGUGGUAUAAACCGGGCCUAAAUAAUGGCCUUUGUAAGAAGCCCCUUGUGUCCAGGUACGUGCAUUGUUCUGGCGUGGCCACAUGCCAAGACGUCAACAUCCUUCUCAACGGUGGAUAUGUAUCAACAAUAGACAGUAAAAAAGGUUUACGCAGGGUCUUAAUCUAAAAUGAUUCCUUGGAGCGGGUCCCUGCUGCACGUCUGCGCCUGUGUCUCCGUUGUGCCGUAUCCUGGACGGGUGUAGCACGAUGAUCGUCUGUAAAAGAGAGGAAUUUAGGUGAAAAAGUUGUCGUGCAAAAAGAUAGUUUUUAAAGAAACCAUGUAUAAUUCAAGAUGAGAAAAAAUUGCCACUUGUCUGCGCGCGUUGAGCCCCUUGUAUUGACAAAUAGGGGUGUGACCACUUAUUCGGUAUAAAUAGCGGCGCCGGACUUGAUUAGUUGUGUCUGAGGUCUUGACGACCUAUUGGAUGCUUUCGCUAGUCCGGGCGCCUUUCGUGUGCGGCUGCCAGGGCAGCCGCACUCUCUUCGGCGCACAGAGAUCGCUUGAUAUUUCCGUUCACUGAAAUGAUGCCACGUGGACCGGGCAUCUUGAGUGUGAGGGAGGCGUAGUGUGGUAUUGCAUUAAAGCGAGCGAAAGCUUCGCGUCCGAGCAGUGCUUGAUAGCCGCUUUGGAACGGAGCGAUGUGGAAGGUUAAAUGCUCGUGACAGAAGUUAUCGGGGGAGCCGAAUAUAACUUGUAGUAGGAGGGAGCCCGUACAACGAGCCCUUGGGCCUGGCGUUACUCCUUUAAAGGUAGUAUUGCUAUGGCGAAUUUUUGUUGGGUCUAACCCCAUCCCGCGGAUUGUAUCCUGAUAUAUUAGGUUUAGAUUGCUGCCACCGUCCAUCAAGACUCGUGUGAAGUGAUAUCCGCCAAUUACUGGGUCUAAUACCAGGGCAGCCCAUCCUGCGCGUCGGAUACUUGCUGAGUAAUCGCGAUGGUCGAAAGUGAUCGGUUGAGACGACCAGUGGCAGGACUUCGCGGUGACAGGCACUUGGGUAUAUUUUCCUGGGAGUGCCGCGUUGUUUUUUCCCUUGAUCACGUGUAACACGUUUACUGUUUUGACUUCUGGUGGAAAUUUCUUUUGUUCCCCAGUGUCUUGCUUGGGAGGCUCGUCCUCGUCUGCACUUGGUGUAUCCUCCCCCUUGUGUACGGCGUUGAGCUUGCCGGACUGCUUGAAGACCCAACAAUCUCUGUGGGUAUGAUUAGCAGGUUUACCAAGGGUACUAUGGAUCUGACAUACUUGGUCCAGAAUUUUGUUGAGGCUGGACAGUUCAUCCCUGGUGCUUUAGAGGGUGGCUUUUGCUGACCUGGCCGAGAGCUUUUGAAUCCGGCGUUUACUGUCGCGCCCUUCGUGCUGUCUUCUUUAUUCCGGUGUUUGUUAUUGCUGUUGCACCGUGAUUUCCCGUUUCCAUCUCUAACUUCAGAUGUACUGGGGUCGCUGGUGCUGCAUCUGGCUAGCCAGCUGUCCUCACCCGCGCAAAAGCGGGUCAUGAGGCUUGUUAAUGCGGCCAUCGUUCUCGGCUUAUUUUGGCCGAGGUGUCUGGCGAGCCAUUCAUCACGGACGCUAUGCUUAAAAGCUGCCAGGGCUUCGGCGUUUGGACAGUCGACAAUCUGAUUCUUUUUAGUAAGAAACCUGUUCCAAAGCUUUUGGGCUGACUCUCCGGGCUAUUGAGUUAUAUGACUCAAAUCGUCCGCAUCCGGGGGUCGGACAUAAGUCCCUUGAAAAUUUGCCCGAAAGGCGUCUUUGAGCUCUUCCCAACUUCCAAUGGAGCUUUCAGGGAGGCCUUUAAGCCAGUGACGAGCUGGCCCUUUGAGCUUGAGGGGUAAGUACUUGAUGGCGUGGAGAUCAUCUCCUCGAGCCAUAUCGAUAUGAAGGAUGUAGUCCUCAAUCCAGACCCCAGGGUCUGUUGUUCCGUCGUAUGUCUCUAUGUUUACGGGUUUGAAUCCCUCUGGAAAUUCAUGGUCCAGCACCUCAUCGGUGAAACAUAGGGGAUGUGCGGCACCCCUGUAGCUGGGUGUACCGCGUUGUUCGGAUGUUUGUUGUUGUAACACCCCGGAUGUAACUUUCCCAAUUUGUACUCCAACUCUUGCCGUUUUCGGCGUUAAGUUAUAUUUAUUUCCUUGGGUUCGGGUUUUGUCUCCGUGUGUUGUUGUCGUUGUCAUGCAUCUCAUAUCAUGUCAUCAUGUGCAUUGCAUUUGCAUACGUGUUUGUCUCAUGCAUUCGAGCAUUUUCCCCGUUGUCCGUUUUGCAUUCCGGCGCUUCGUUCUCCUCCAGUGGUCAUUUCCAGCUUUCUUUCUUGUGUGGGGAUUAAACAUUUCCGGAUUGGACCGAUACUUGCCAAGCGACCUUGGUUUACUACCGGUAGACCGCCUGUCAAGUUUCGUAUCAUUUGGACUUCGUUUGAUACUCCAACGUUUAACCGAGGGACCGAAAAUGCCUCGUGUGUGUUGCAGCCCAACACCCCUCCAAUUUGGCCCAAAACCCACCUAACUCUGCUCCAUCAUCUAGAGCGUUGGAUCACUAUCGCGUGGCCGAAAACCGCACCUCAUUUGGACUCUCCUAGCUCCCUCUAUGCCUAUUUAAAGAACCCCUCCCGAAAUUUCGCGGAUCCCCUCUCUUCCGAACCCUAGAUCUCAUCGUCGCGCGCCGCCGGACGAAAUCCUGCCGGGCCGGACACGUCCGGAUCCACCCGCCGCCACCACGUGUCGGCUCCUCAUUCGCCCGCGCCGCCGCCCCACUUCGCCGUGCUGCCCGGGCCCGCCGAGNNNNNNNNNNNNNNNNNNNNNNNNNNNNNNNNNNNNNNNNNNNNNNNNNNNNNNNNNNNNNNNNNNNNNNNNNNNNNNNNNNNNNNNNNNNNNNNNNNNNNNNNNNNNNNNNNNNNNNNNNNNNNNNNNNNNNNNNNNNNNNNNNNNNNNNNNNNNNNNNNNNNNNNNNNNNNNNNNNNNNNNNNNNNNNNNNNNNNNNNNNNNNNNNNNNNNNNNNNNNNNNNNNNNNNNNNNNNNNNNNNNNNNNNNNNNNNNNNNNNNNNNNNNNNNNNNNNNNNNNNNNNNNNNNNNNNNNNNNNNNNNNNNNNNNNNNNNNNNNNNNNNNNNNNNNNNNNNNNNNNNNNNNNNNNNNNCCCGCCGGAAGCACCGCCAGCCGCCGCCAAUCCGCGCCGGGGCCGCGCCCCACGCCCUCCGCCGCCGUCCUGCCCUUCCUCUCGCCGGCUUCGGCCUCCCCCACGCCAGAGCGGCGCCUCUUCUUCGCCGGAGCGGAGAUCCUCGCCGGUGACCUCGUUUUUUCGUUGCGGAUGAACAGUGGUCGCGCCGGUGAACAGUAAACCCUAGAUCCCGCGAGGUGUUUUUCUCUCUCUAAGUCCUCAAAUCUCAGAUCCAAGUGCUCCUGUUCAUGGCCUCGUAACUUUGCAUCCGUAGCUCCGAUUCAUGCAUAUAGCAUAUUAAAAUGUUCAUCUCAGAGAGUACAUCAUUUCAUUCCAUUGCAUCAUUUUCAUUUGAGUUCAUCUUGAUGCCCAAAAUGCUGUUAGAAGAGGGCUACUUGAGAUUAUUGUCAGAUCUGCUACUCCAUUUAGGUUUUUGUCAUUUUUGCCAUGAUCUUUGUGUGCAUGAUAUGCCCUGAUGCUCUACAUGUGUUUUGUUAAGGAUUUUGUCAUCUUUCCAGAGGUGCAACCCUUGUAUUUUUGUGAUGUGUGUGGUGUCUUGUGCAAGCUUGCAAAGUGGUGCACUUGCUAAUUCUGUUUUCAGGGACUUGGUAAUUUCACUAAGUCCAGGAGCUGUUUAUCUCAUGAUGCCAUAUGUUCAUGUUGUUUACUAGUGAUCCGUGCCUCUUUUGAGGAUGAUCAGUAAGGAUGUUUUGUUAAUAUUGUAGUGCUCUAUCCAUCCAUGUCUUUGUUUGCAAUUAUGGAGCACCCUAGCUUGAGUCAAUCGAGCUCUACUUUUGCUACUUUGUGAAUUUGGGCAGAUUGUCAACUUGUUUGCAAUUUUGCCGAUGAUGUUGUAGUUGAUCCGUGCUUGCUAUGCUAUUGUUCUUGCCAUGUCUAGCUUGCAUUUUGUGCCUUAUUGAUGGAUGUAUGCUUGUCUUGCCAUGACUUGCACCGUAGUGAGUGCAUCGAGCUCGUGAACAUGCCUACUUGAGUUAUAUUUCAGCAUGUGCCAGUUUUCACUAAGUCUGUGAACUGAUUAUGUUUUUGCUAUGUUCACAUGCUUGCAAUUGUAUUUUCUGAUCCCUUUUGGCUCAAGGUCACUAAGGGACUUUUGUUAAGCUCUUUGAGUAGCUCCAUUCCAUUCUUUACUUUGCCAUGUUCAGAUCCUAUAACAUGUAGUUCGUUGCUUCGAAGAGGGCUACUUGAUCUGAAAUUCCAGACAAGUGUUAAUUUCACUAAGUCUGAGAUCUGCUUGCCAUAUGCAUUUUUUGCCAUGCUUGUUUGAACCUGUUAAUGGAUGAAUUGGCCGUAGCUCAAUGCUAGACUUUUUUUAAGCAUCUUGAAUGCAUCCCUGCCAUGUAUUUUGUUGUCUUGUUUGGGUGCUGUAGCAUGUUCAUCUCAUUGCAUUUAGAUGGCUACUUGCUGUAGAUCGCAGACUGGUGCCAUAUUUGAAUCACUUGCCAUUUCCAAACCGUAACUCCGAUUCCGGCAUUCUUUAUAUCGUUUCAAGCGAUUUCAUCUCAUCUUUCUAGUGGCACACUUGGAUUUCCAAGUUGAGGCCAGGUUCAUGCAUUUACUGUCAUAUCUUGCAUUUUGCAUUCCGCAUCGCAUCUCGCAUAGCAUAUCAUCUUUGCAUCAUAUUGCUUGAUCCUUGCACAUGUUUGAUUGUAUCCUUGUUGCUUGUUUGUCUUGUUUGGGUAGAGCUGGGAGACGAGUUCGCUAACGAGGUGCCUAUUGAGUUUGCUUUCGAGGAUCCAGUCAACUCUGACAACUGUGCAGGCAAGAUGAUCAUACCCUCAAAAUCACUACUAUCUUUGCUAUGCUAGUUUGCUCGCUCUUUUGCUAUGCCAAUGCUAUGAUGCCUACCACUUGCUUUCAAGCCUCCCAAAUUGCCAUGUCAAACCUCUAACCCACCAUGUCCUAGCAAACCGUUGAUUGGCUAUGUUACCGCUUUGCUCAGCCCCUCUUAUAGCGUUGCUAGUUGCAGGCGAAGAUUGGAGGCCGUUCCUUGUUGGAACAUUUAUUUACUUGUUUGGAUAUCAUUAUAUUGCUAUGUUAUCUUAAUGCAUCUAUAUACUUGGUUAAGGGUGGAAGGCUUGGCCUCUCGCCUAGUGUUUUGUUCCACUCUUGCCGCCCUAGCUUCCGUCAUAUCGGUGUUAUGUUCCCGGAUUUUGCGUUCCUUACGCGGUUGGGUUAUAAUGGGAACCCCUUGAUAGUUCGCCUUGAUUAAAGCUUUUCCAGCAAUGCCCAACCUUGGUUUUACCAUUUGCCACCUAGCCUUUUCUUUCCCUUGGGUUCUGCAGACUCAAGGGUCAUCUUUAUUUUAACCCCCCCGGGCCAGUGCUCCUCUGAGUGUUGGUCCACCUAUCAGCUACCGGUGGCCACCAGGGGCAACUCUGGGCUGGCCUACCCGUACCUAGGACAAUCUGAGUGUGCCCUGAGAAAGAGAUAUGUGCAGCUCCUAUCAAGAUUUGUCGGCACAUUCAGGCGGUGUUGCUGGUCUUGUUUUAACCUGUCGAAGUGUCUUGAAUUACCGAGAUACCGAGUCUGAUCGGAACGUCUUGGGAGGAGGUCUAUUCCUUCAUUGACCGUGAGAGCUUGUCAUGGGCUAAGUUGGGAUUCCCCUGCAGGGAUUGAACUUUCGAAAGCCGUGCCCGCGGUUAUGGGCAGAUGGGAAUUUGUUAAUGCCUGGUUGUAGAUAACUUGAACCUUAACUUAAUUAAAAUGAAUCAACUGAGUGUGUUACCGUGAUGGCCUCUUCUCGGCGGAGUCCGGGAAGUGGACACGGUGUUGGAGUAAUGUUUGCGCAGGUUUCUCUCUAGUUUCUCGCUCGCGCUUUGCCUCCUCUUCUCGCUCUCUUUUGCGAAUAAGUUAGCCACCAUAUUUGCUAGUUGCGUGCUGCAGCUCCACAUACUUACCUUGCCUUACCUGUAAGCUUAAAUAGUCUUGAUCGCGAGGGUGCGAGAUUGCUGAGUCCCUGUGGCUCACAGAUUACUAUUACACCAGAUGCAGGGCCUGAUGAUUCCGCUCCAGGAGACGCGUAUGAGCUCAAGUGGGAGUUCAACGAAGACUCUCAACGUUACUAUGUUUCCUUUCCCGAUGAUCAGUAGUGGUGCCCAGUUGGGGGUGAUUGGGACCGUGUCCCAUGUUGGGUUAUCUUUUAUUUUGGCGUCGUAGUCGGGCCAUGAGUGUUUGGAUGAUGUAAUGUUAUUUAUGUACUUGAUUGACGUGGCGAGUGUAAGCCAACUAUGUUAUCUCCCCUUUAUUAUUUACAUUACAUGGGAUUUUGUGAAGAUUGCCUAACUUGCGACAUAUGCCUUCAAUGCGAUUAUGCCUCUAAGUCGUGCCUCGACACGUGGGAGAUAUAGUCGCAUCGAGGGUGUUACAAGUUGGUAAUCAGAGCCUUCCCUGACCUUAGGAGCCCCAUUGCUUGAUCGUUUUUAGCGGCCGAGUUGUGUCUAGAAAAAUGUUUUGAGUCAUUUAGGAAUUAUAUAUCGGAGAGUUUAGGAAUUCUUUUUACUUCCCAGUCUCCUCAUCGCUCUGGUAAGGCAUCCUGACGUAGAGUUUUGACUCUUCUCUUCUCAAAUUUCACAAAAAAAAAAAU
rnacentral:lncRNA from 1 species